rnacentral:lncRNA from 1 species
CAUCGGAUUAAAAACAGUUUGGACGCUUAGGAUUGCGCCACGUCAUCAGUUAACAGUACGCGGUUUGACCACGCGGAUGAACAGUAACACGGUUUGACCCAGGUGAACAGUGACGCGGUUUGGUUGAAAAUAAUCCUGUGUGAUGCAUGUACCGUACGCGCGAUUUUUUCGUCCACUGAUAUGCUGCCACGUCACCAUCAACAGUACAUAAGAAUUUUAGCCCAAUAGGAUCGUGACACCUCAUCAGUUAAUGCCACAUCAUCAGUCAAUGUCACGUCAUCGAUCCGUCUAUAUGAACAGUGUCAUGAACAGUAACGUAGACAGUACCGUACACGUGAAUAGUAACAUAGACAGUACCGUACACGUGAAUAGUACCGUACAUAUGAAUAGUACCAUUUUUCCUUUUAUGCUCUUCCUAAGGUUUUCGACCGUCCUGAGUUCAAAAGUGAUGUCUGUUUUGCCGUCUGAUCUCUCGUUUAUUGUGAAAUGAUCAUGAUACCCCUAAAAUACAUAAAAUACUUAAUUAAAAUAAAACACAUGUAAUUAAAUCACAAGAAGGUUAAAUACAUAAAAGUAAGGGUUGUUAAUAAGACUUGAAAUGUCAAAUGACAGUUUUCUCCUUUAUAAAUAUACAUUUUCUAACACUCAACACACCCCCCAACCAGCUUAUUACUAGUCCCUAGCAAAUAAAGCGAAAACGAAAUUCAAAUCCAAAAUGAUUUUUUUUUUUAAUAGAAACACUCGUGUUUAUUCAAUCAGAUUAAUUAUAGCAAUCAAAUAAAAGUAUAAGCAUUAUCUCCAGUCUAAAGAAAUAUCACACCCACAUCAACCAUCCACAUGAAUCAGCCCAGUAGACUUUGUUAUAGCUACUUUCAAGAAUGACAUGUCAAACCCUAAAAUCUCACUGGAAGUAGUGACACUCUCACAAAGAAAUUAAACCCAAUAAAAAUAGUCACUCCAAUGAAUGGUAAUUGAGAGAAAAUAAUAAAGAAGUGAUAUCACAUGCUCUCACCAAGAUGAAAGAAAUAUGCCCUCAGCUUAGAAAUAAUACAAUCUCAAGUCAAACAAAAAUGCUAGUCAACCCAUUUUAUUUAUCUUUUUUUCUUUUAUUAUUAUGCAUCACUACAUCUUUUUAGCCCAUAUAACUAGCUUCUACUUCAAACUAUAGUUCCCUAAAAUCAAGAAUGACUUUUAUUAGGACGUAACGUAGGCUAGGGACAUGGCUAAUACAGAAGGGAAAUAAGGAAAACAAAGUGUAUGUUUGAGAAAAAUGCAGAGAAUUUUUUUUUUUUUUGAAGUUACAAGGUGUAUUUCACCUAUUGUUGUUAUUUUUAUUCUUUUGAAACAACAACUUUUGUUUUGUUUUUUUUUUUUUUGCUUUUAUUUGGCAUAACUUCACUGAACAAAAUAAUUAUUUACAUUUUCUCAAACAUAAAUAGGUGAUGGAACUUAUAAGACAUCGGGUAAUACUCCAAAUCGGAGUGGGUCAAGAUGAUAAGUUGACAAAGAAAAGGUUUUUUUUUUUAAAGACUCAAAAGGGGUAACUAUGGAUAUUUAAUAAAAGGGUGGCUAGAAUGACUCAAACGGAUCAAACAUGGCAUUUCUAUCAUCUUUUAGGGCUCUAAAUAAUUAUCCAUAUCUACUAGUUAGAUGAGCCUCUCAAUGUAGCAACACACAUUUUUUUCUUUGUCUUUUUUUUAUUUUACAAUUUUUUUUAAGGGUUAACUCAAAAGAAAUCUAGAGGUCGUAUAUAAAAUAAUAAACUGCUAAGCUAUAUAAAGAAUGGGCAAAAGGGUUACUCUCCAAGAAAAAUGAUAGGCUCAAAAACUCAUUUGGCACUUAUUUAUGACAUGUUCAUUCCUUCAAGCAACUCAUAUUUGUCUCCGACAUCAACAUGUAAAGUAGCAAAUAUAGCGUAACAUCACUUAAGACCAAAGAUAAUACAAAUACUAAAAUUUGAAAUUAAUCAUGUCAUCCAAUGUUAAAACAAAUAAUACAACAAUUUUUUUUUAAACAACAUUCUACCCCCCAACCUAUUCUAAACAUGAAAGGAAAAUAUGCAUGCAGAAAUGUGAAAAUGAUGUAGAAAAAUUUAUUAGAAAAAGAAUUUUUUUUUUUUUAACUAAGAAGAUGCGUUUCUAGAGGUACGACACUCCAUAUUCAGCCAUCUUCGACUCAAAAAUUGAAAAAUAUAUAUUUAUAAAGGAGAAAGAGGAAGAAAACAGUUUUUUUUUUUUUUUAAACGAUGAAGAUGCGUUUCUAGAGUAACUACACUCCAUAUUCAGCCAUUUUCAACACAAAACGUUAGCAACAGUUAGUUUCUACAACAAAAAAUUAGUAAAAACUUAACCAAGAUUUCACAAUUGUCGACUAUUCCCUCCCCCAACCAGAACGAAACAUUGUCCUUAAUGUUUGAAAGGAAAGAAGUAGAGUUUAGAAGACAUCACCUGGGUGGUGCAACACAGAAGAAAAUAUUUACAGGCGGAGAGUUAAAUCUAAUUUGUACUUCUUACUGCGGCUACUGUUACCAUCAUUAUUUGGUCGCUCUAACACAAAGGUCCAGGGGUCUGGCUCCGGUUUAUAAGCUUGUAACAUAUCAAGUAGCUCAUUAGCAGUGUGAGCACAAAUAAAGAGUUUUUUCACAUUAGAAGGAAUGAAAUAGUUUUUUAUUGCAUGGUUAAGAAAUGCGAUAAAGCCAUCAUAAAAGUUAUUGACAUUUAACAAACCGAUGGGUUUCUGGUGGAUGUGCAGAUGGGCCCAAGAUGCUAGUGUGAUAAGUGCCUCUAGUGUUGCAAGAUCUCCUGGAAUGAAAAUAAAAGCAUCAGCAUGAUUAAGCAUUUCAGUUAUUCUUUCUUGCAUACCUGAGACGACUAACUCUUCUCCAGUUGAUGAGUCAGACGAACUGCCCAAUGGUUUUAGGACUCUUGGGAUGAUGCCUAACACUUGACUUCCUCUGAUAAAAGCUGCUUCUGAGACCAUUUUUGAUAACCCUCGGUUACCUCCUCCAUACACCAAAUGUAAAUUUCUCGCUGCUAUGCUUCGACCAAGAUUUAUGGCUGCCUCAACGAACUCUUUAUGUUUGCCAUAGGUAAAUCCAGAAAGCACACAAAUAUUCUUGAAUUGUCUAUUGGGAGUAGCUGCCAUUGGAAUAUUUCUCAAAAAUAAUUUGAGUGUUUGACAAAAGAAAUCACAUUUAAGAGUCUUGGUGAUAAUGGGUCACAGCUGUGAAUGAGGUAACAUGUCAGUGUCAAAUAACGCGUGAAGCACAUGGCUCGCGAGUCAAAAAGGAAACAGUAAAAAUGAAAAAACAAACAGUAAUAAAAUUAUUAAAGACAAUAAUGCAAAUAAUAAAACAACAGUGAAAUGAAAUAAAAUAAUAGUAAAGUAAAAGGAUAUUUACACGUAGUUGCGACUGUGGCUCACAUCUUCCUCUGGUUUUACGUCCAGAAACGGCUUGAACGCCCUCUAUGGGUCGAUGAUGGGCUUCCUAUCCAGUUUUCUUAUAAACUGGCAAACAAGGUCGUUUAUAGUCAGAUUCCCGAGACUAUACUGUGCAUGCUCUUUCUGGAAUAAUGGCCAUAACUGGAGAAUCGCUCCUUGCACAUAUCCAUUGGGAUGCGUUUCAAGAGACAGAAGGAUAUCAUCCAAUGACUCCUUAUUCAAGCCAUCCCUAAUGAAUUGAAUCUUAUCUUCUCUGUUAUCAGACACCAUUCCUGCCAAUCGUACUUUAGCCUCGAUUAACCAACGGAUGUCUGCAUGUAUGUUAUUCCUCAUGAGCAAUCGCAUGCGUUCAGACCGAGCUUUAUAGAUUGUAAGGAGGGCAUUUUGAGGAAGUGAAGGGAAUCGCUUGUGAAGCUUUGCUAGAAUCUCAUUUCUAUCCAUACCUUCGCCUCAGAAUAUCAGUUAUUAUGGGAAACUGAAGUAACCGACUUGAUUGUCAUGGAGUACCAUUAUCCGCCACUUCACCGGGGUAACAAACUAAAGCACAUAAACAGAAAAACAAAUUAAAACACACAAAGAAAAUUAAAAUCGUCCUCUUAUUGAAUUUACCUCAAGCUCCAACUGGAUGUCGUAAACACUUCUCUCAAUAUCUCUGAGUUGGCUUUCUAAACCCUCAACAUAGGCUACUAACUCUGGUGGUCGUAGAGCCCAAAUGCAAUGUGUUUUACAAAAUUGAAUCUGCAUUUUGAGAUGAGUUUUGACAUGUUGAAGUGGUUUAAGAAUGUUCAGGAGGAACGGUCUAAGUAUGGUACUCAUGAUUAAAAAUGAUAAGAGAAAACUUAAUAGUUAAACAAACACACUUAUGUAAAAAUAAUUUCAAUUAGCAAAAGAAUAAUAAAAAGAAAGAAAGAAAAAUCAAAUCAACGAAAAGAAAGAAAGAAAAAAAAAUCAAUUCAAAUCUAGUGGGUCACUCAAAUUUAUUUCGGUGUCUUCUCCAUGUGGUUGGUAUUCUAGAUAUGGCUUUAAUCUUUGACCAUUAACUUUAAACGUGACACCGUUCUUUGGGUCCUUAAUUUCAAUUGCCCCAUGUGGAAAAACAGUAUGAACAAUAAAUGGACCAGACCAUCGAGAGCGUAACUUACCUGGGAAUAGGUGCAAGCGAGAAUUGAAUAAAAGCACUUUCUGACCUGGAGUGAAAGAUUUUCUCAUAAUGUGCUUGUCAUGAAAGACUUUCAUUCGUUGCUUGUAAAUCUUGGCACUUUCGUAUGCAUCAUUGCGAAUUUCUUCAAGUUCUGCCAGUUGUAAUCUUCUUUCUGAGCUGGCUUGCUGCAUAUCAAAGUUGAAUUUCUUGAUGGCCUAAUAUGCACGAUGCUCGAGUUCCACAGGUAGGUGGCAAGCUUUUCCAUACACUAGCCUGUAGGGUGACAUCCCAAUCGGGGUCUUGAAAGCCGUUCUAUAUACCCAUAAUGCAUCAUCAAGUCUUAAUGACCAAUCUUUUCUAUUUAGUCUCACCGUCUUUUCUAAUAUGUGCUUUAUUUCUCGAUUGGAUAUCUCAACUUGACCACUGGUUUGCGGAUGAUACGGAGUCGCCACUUUGUGUGUGAUUGAAUACUUUGUCAAAAGAGCUUUGAAUGCUUUGUUACAAAAGUGGGCAUCACCAUCACUGAUUAUUGCUCGAGGGAAUCCAAAGCGUGAGACAAUGUUGCUUUUCAAAAAUCCUAUCACCACUUUGUGAUCAUUGGUCCUACAUGGAAUUGCUUCUACCCACUUCGAUACGUAGUCAAUGGCAACCAAUAUGUAUUGAUGGCCAAAAGAAGGGGGAAAGGGUCCCAUGAAGUCAAUACCUCAUACGUCAAAAAUCUCAACCACUAAAAUUGGAUUUAAUGGCAUCAUGUUCCUUCGUGUAAUGCUCCCCAUUCUUUGACACCUAUCACAUGAAGAACAGAAAGUGUAAGCGUCUCGAAAUAUAGUUGGCCAAUAGAAACCACAUUGUAAAACUUUAGUUGCUGUUUUCUUAGCACUGAAAUGGCCUCCACAAGCUUGUUCAUGGCAGAAUGAAAGAAUAUUCUGAAUUUCACUUUCUGGGACAUAUCGUCUAACAAUUUGGUCUGCACAAUACUUGAACAAAUAAGGGUCAUCCCAAAAGAAAUUCUUUAUUUCCGCAAAAAAAUUGGUCUUGUCUUGCUUGGUCCAAUGCUCUGGAAGUUUACCUGUAACAAGAUAAUUAAGUAUAUCAGCAUACCAAGGUAAUACUUCCACACUCAUUAAUUGUUCAUCUGGAAAUGACUCAUUUAAUGGUAAUGGUUCUGUAAUUGUGUCAAAGUGAAGACGAGAGAGAUGGUUCGCCACAACAUUUUCUGUGCCCUUUUUAUCUUUGAAUUCCAAGUCGAAUUCCUGCAAAAGUAAUACCCAACGAAUUAGUCUAGCUUUUGCAUCUUUCUUUGUGAGAAGAUAUUUAAGAGCAGCAUGAUCUAUGAACACAAUUAUUUUACAACCAAUGAGAUAAGAUCGAAAUUUCUCUAAUGCAAACACUACUGCUAGCAUUUCUUUUUCAGUAGUUGAAUAGUUCAACUGUGCAACAUUCAAUGUCAUACUAGCAUAGUAAAUAACGUGAGGAAUUCGAUCAACUAUUUGUCCUAACACUGCUCCUACUGCAUAAUCAGAUGCAUCACACAUGAGCUCAAAUGGUAAGCUCCAAUUUGGGGGCUGAAUGAUGGGUGAUGAUGUCAAUAAUUGUUUUAAUUUUUCAAACGCUACAAGACAUGAAUCAUUAAAGAUAAAAGGUACAUCCUUAGCAAGUAAAUUGAAUAAGGGUCUAGAAAUUUUGCUAAAAUCUUUAAUAAAACGUCGAUAGAAACCAGCAUGCCCAAGGAAAGAUCUUACUUCUCUGACUGUUUUGGGUGGAGGAAGAUUAGAAAUGAGAUCCACCUUGGCUUUGUCAACCUCAAUACCUUUGCUUGAAAUGAUGUGACCGAGAACAAUACCUUGUUUUACCAUAAAAUGGCACUUCUCCCAAUUUAAGACUAAAUUCUUCUCGAUACAUCUCUGCAGAACUAGCGUUAGAUGAUGUAAACAUUGAUCAAACGAGUCACCAAAGAUAGAAAAGUCAUCCAUAAAGACUUCAAGGAAUCGUUCAACCAUAUCAGAAAAAAUACUCAACAUGCAUCGUUGAAAUGUAGCCGGUGCAUUACAUAAUCCAAAUUGCAUUCUCCUAUAUGCAAAUGUGCCAAAAGGGCAAGUGAAAGUAGUUUUCUCUUGAUCUUUUGAUGCUAUGGGAAUCUGAUUAUAUCCUGAGUAGCCAUCUAGAAAGCAAUAAAAUUCAUGACCUGCCAAUCUAUCAAGCAUUUGAUCGAUAAAUGGUAAAGGAAAAUGGUCUUUACGUGUGACAGAAUUCAAUUUUCUAUAAUCAAUGCAUACACGCCAUCCUGUAGUUACUCUAGUUGGUAUCAAUUCAUUAUUUGCAUUCGUAACUACUGUGACUCCUGACUUUUUGGGGACAACUUGUACAGGACUGACCCAUGAACUAUCAGAAAUGGGGUAAAUGAUACCUGCAUCUAAUAGCUUAAGGACUUCAGUUCUAACAACGUCUUUCAUAUUAGGAUUUAACCGACGUUGCAUUCCCUAGUAGGUUUAGCAUUUUCAUCAAGGUGAAUAUAAUGCAUGCAAUCUACUGGGUUUAUCCCUUUUAUGUCCGCUAUGGUCCAUCCUAAUGCCCCUUUGUGCUCUUUUAAAACAUCCAACAACUUACCUUUUUGUUCGUCGUUUAGGGAUGAUGAGAUGAUUACUGGUAGAGUGCUUUCUUCUCCCAAAAACGCAUAUUCCAAACUGUUGGGCAAUGGUUUGAGCUUGAGUUUCGGUAGUGAAUCUGAUGAUAGAAUGAGUUUCUUCUCUGAUGGUGCUAGUUGUUCAACUCUUGAUUUCCAUUUAUUAGUGUCCAUGGAUGGUGCUGAGUCAAGUAGGGCGUUGACCUCAUCGACCGAUCUGUCAAUAUCAAAAUCCAAACCAAAGUGAGUUAAACAUAUUCGUAAAGGAUCAUCACUAAGGUUUGAAACAAAAGUGUCAUCAACUAAUGCUUCAAUUAAAUCCACAUCAACAAGUCCAUCAUCUGUAUUGUGAGUUGUUUGGCAAUGUUGAAGAUGUUCAGCUCCAUAGUCAUGUUGCCAAAGGACAACUACAUAUUUCCAGUCCUGCAUUGAAUGUGAGCAUCCGCAGUUGCCAAGAAAGGUCGGCCUAGAAUAAUGGGGAUGUGCUUCCUUGAAUCCUGUAUUGGUUGAGUGUCAAUUACAAUGAAAUCAACAUGAAAAUAAAACUUGUCUACCUGGAUAAGCACGUCCUCCACAAUACCACGAGGUAUUUUCGUGAACCGAUCUGCAAGCUGUAACACCACUGGAGUUGGGUGUAAUUCUCCAAGCCCAAAUUUCACAAACACAAAGUAAGGCAACAAAUUUACACUAGCUCCUAAAUCCAACAAAGCAUUCUCAAUUGUGUGGUUCCCUAUGCUACAUGAGAUAGUGGGGGAGCCUGGGUCUUUGCAUUUUAGAGCAAUUUUAUAUUGGAGUAAAGAACUAACGUUUUCUGUUAAAAAUGCCUUCUUUUGAACAUGCAUGUUUCUCUUUUUAGUACACAAAUCUUUAAGAAACUUGGCAUAAGAUGGAACUUGCUUUAUAGCAUCAAGUAAAGGGAUGUUAACACUUACCUGUUUGAAGAUUUCGAGAAUCUCACCUGUGGAUUUUCCCUUCUUUCCUUUCGCUAACCUUUGAGGAAAUGGAGCUUUCGGAACGUAUUCUCGUGGGUUGGUUUCUUUUUUCUCUUCCGGUGAUGAGUCCUCAACACUCACAGGUACAAUUUGAUUUUCUUUUGUCACCGGCAUCUCCACUUUGUUGUCGACUUCUUUUCCUUUUCGCAAGGUCAUUACUGCUUUGACCUCUCCAUGCUGUUGUGGUGAACUGGUACUUACUUCAUGCACUCCUUUAGGAUUAGGCACUGGUUGACUUGGAAACUUGCCUUUCUCAACAGUCAUUGCCAAGGUUUGAACUGAAGAAGCAAGUUGUCCCACCAUCUUCUCCAGGCUUGAAACUGAUUGAGCUUGUGAGUUGAAGCCUACUCUCAACUCAUUUCGUAGUCCAUCAAUGGUGCGGUUCUGUUGCUCAAUCGUGGAGUGAGUAACAUUCUUGAAAUUUUGAAAUGCAUCCUCCCAUGGUCUGGGUUGAGAGUAGUUCUGAUUCUGAUUGUAUGAUCUAAAUGGUGGCUGAGAGGCUUGAGGAACUUGAGGAAUUUGUUGCAUUGGUGGAGCUGGAGCUGCUGGUCCAUUCUGUUGGAAUCCUUGAGACCAUGAAAAAUUGGGGUGGUCUCUUCAUCCAGGGUUAUAUGUGUUGGAGUACGGGUUGUAAUUUGAUGGUUUUCUCAUUACACCUAUGGCAUUGGCUUGAUCUGAGUAUGAGUCAAGGUCAUGUGGCUCAAUUGAUUUAGCAGUCGAUAAUGAUGCUAUUUGUCGAGAGAGCACUUCAAUUAUCUCCUUAACUUCUUUAAUUUCUGAAGUUGACUCGCCAAUGUGAACCUCAUUCACUCCCUUAAUUCUUCUAGUAUUCCUGAGUGAUCGACUCUGUUGUUGGGAAUUAUCCGCUUGUCGCUGGAAGAAUUCCCAAAUCUCUGCACUUUUUGACAUUAGCUCUCCUGCACUUGUUUCCAUUAGCCAUUCUUGCACAUUUGGUAGUAAUCCCUCCAAAACGUAUUGGCAUUGGUGCCAUUUCUCAUACCCAUGAUGUGGACACUUCAAGAGUAACCCAUUGAAUCGCUCCCAUAUUUCGAAAAACUGCUCGUCCUCUCUUUGGGUAAACUCCGAGAUUUCCCUGCGAAUAGCAUUGGUUUUAUGCACUGGGAAAUAUUUGUUCAAAAAUUUCGUUACCAUUUGUUCCCAUGAUGAAAUGCUAUUAGUAGGUAAAGUAUUUAACCAUGAACGAAAAUGGGAAUAAUCUGAGUUUAACAUCAUCGUCUGAAAAUUUUUCAUAUUUAAAAGUUUGACAAAUGGCAUGAAAAUCAUUUAGAUGAUUAUAUGGGUCCUCAUUUUCUAGGCCAUAGAAUGUUGGGAGACAAUUUAGCACACUAGGUUUUAGUUCAAAACUCCUAGCAGCUACAUUUGGGUAUCUUAUGCAUGAUGUGCUCAAAUUAGCUAAAGGACUGAAGUAGUCCUUAAAUGGCCUCUCAUGUGGUUGCAAAUCCAUUUUAUUUUUAAAUUGUUUGUGUGUGCGAAGUGUUUUUUCUAGUUCAAGGUCUAUCAGUUCAAGAUUAGGUAAUAAUGACCUACGACCAUGCAUGCAAAACAAAUAAAAUAAAAUAAAAAUGGGAACAAAACAAAUAAAAAUAAAGAAGAGGGAGAAAUUAUGAUACUAACCUUAUUGCGCUAUUACAACCUUUCUAUAAAAAUACACAAAAAUAAAUACGUGAAAUAAAUUAACUAAAAAUUAAAUUAAUAAAAUAAACAAAAAAUUACAGAAGAAAAAAAAAUAAAUUGAAAAUUAAAUUACGGAAUUUUAAAGAAGAGAAAAAGAAAAGAAAUACUAACCUUUAUAUGUAGAUUCACUUUUUUUUUCUUUUUCUUUUUUUAAAAAAUACAAGAAAACAAUUAAAUGGAAAUAUUCAGAAAAAUUAAUUCUAUGAAUUAAAAUUACUUACCUCCCCGGCAACUGUGCCAAAAACUUGUUGUGCAAAUUUUAAUGAACUCGCAAGCGCACGAAUCUAUUGUAGUAUAGAUCAAUGGUGACGAGUGUCGAUCCCACGAGGAGGUGGAUUUUAAUUGUGUAUAGAAUUAAUUUUGUAAAUGGGUGAUUGGAUUUGUGGUGGAAAUGAUUUGAAAUAUGCUAAAACUUAAAUUAAAAUGGCGAGAAUAAAUUCUAAAAUUGGUAUUGAAAUGGCGAGAAUAAAUUGAAGAGAAUUCUAUUGAAAUGACGUACUUGGGUAUCUGGAUCCGUAUCAACAUGCAUCAUGGGUUAAAUAUUCCUUAUUAAUACCAAUUAAAUCAUGAGGGGGGAAUCCACACCUCAUGAACCACGCUCUAAUCAAUAUGGUGCUAAGGGCUUAUCGUGCCAAAUAAUAAUAACCUUAUACUAGAGAGUCGGUGUAACCAAGACGGUAUCUAGACAAGAUUACUAUUAUUUGUCGACGAAAAGUCAAAUCAUCCACAAAAAUUAGAGGGGAAAAAGAAAAUAAAUUUACCAAAUAAAGUUCAUGACACAUGUUGAGACUUCACCUUCAACCCAAGCUUCAAAGAAAAUUAGCCACUCAUAAUUGAACUAGGGGCAAAAUAGGAAUUUAUUAAAAUACAUAGAAAAUACAAGAAGGAGAAGAAAUUACAGAAAAUGGAUCCCAAAAAUGGAUUCAGAGAUAUCAAAUUAGGGGGGAGAGGCCCCCUUUUUAUAGAUACAUGGAGUAAAUCAUGGCCAUUGGAUUAAAAACAGUUUGGACGCUCAGGAUUGCGCUACGUCAUCAGUCAACAGUACGCGGUUUGACCACGCGGAUGAACAGUAACACAGUUUGACUUGGGUGACCAGUGACGCGGUUUGGUUGAAAAUAAUCAUGUGUGAUGCAUGUACUGUACGAGCGAUUUUUUCGUCCACUGAUAUGCUGCCACGUCACCAUCAACAGUACAUAAGAAUUUUAGCCCAAUAAGAUCGUGACACCUCAUCAGUCAAUGCCACAUCAUCAGUCAAUGCCACGUCAUCGAUCCGUCUAUGUGAACAGUGUCAUGAACAGUAACGUAGACAGUACCGUCCACGUGAAUAGUACCGUACAUGUGAACAGUGCCAUUUUUCCUUUUAUGCUCUUCCUAAGGUUUUCGACCGUCCUGAGUUCAAAAGUGAUGUCCGUUUUGCCGUCUGAUCUCUCGUUUAUUGUGAAAUGACCAUGAUACCCCUAAAAUACAUAAAAUUCUUAAUUAAAAUCAAACACAGAUAAUUAAAUUGCAAGAAACUUAAAUACAUAAAAGUAAGGGUUGUUAGUAAAAUUUGAAAUGUAAAAUGAUGAUUUUGUCCUUUAUAAAUAUACAUUUUCUAACACUCAACAGCCACAAAACAGGCUUUGAGACUUUGGUUAACCUUUGCAUGCCUUAGGAAUUUUUACAACGCUUGGGAAUCUGCUCGCCUUCGCUUGGUCGAGCAGAUCCUGGCACGCUUGGCUACUGGUCACGCCAUAAACAGGCUUUGAGACUUUGGUGAGCCUUUGCAUGCCUUAGGAAUUUUUACAACGUUUGGGAAUCUGCUCGCCUUCGCUUGGUCGAGCAGAUCCUGGCACGCUUGGCUUCGUGUCUCGCCAUAAAACAGGCUUUGAGACUUUGGAACCUUUGCAUGCCUUAGAAACUUUUUGGAACUUUGGUGGUCUGCUCACCUUCGCUUGGUUGAGCAAAUCCUGGCAUGCUUGGCUUCCUGUCUCGCCAUAAAACAGGCUUUGAGACUUUGGUUAGCCUUUGCAUGCCUUAGGAAUUUUUACAACGCUUGGGAGUCGGCUCGCCUUGGCUUGGUCGAGCAGAUCCUGGCACGCUUGGAUUCUGGUCUCGCCAUAAACAGACUUUGAGACUUUGGUUAGCCUUUGCAUGCCUUAGGAAUUUUUACAAGGCUUGGGAAUCUGCUCGCCUUCGCUUGGUUGAGCAGAUCCUGGCACGCUUGGCUUCUCGUCUCGCCAUAAACAGGCUUUGAGACUUUGGUGAGCCUUUGCAUGCCUUAGGAAUUUUUACAACGCUUGGGAAUCUGCUCGCCUUCGCUUGGUCGAGCAGAUCCUGGCACGCUUGGCUCCUGGUCUCGCCAUAAACAGGCUUUGAGACUAUGGUGAGCCUUUGCAUGCUUUAGGAAUUUUUACAACGCCUGGGAAUCUGCUCGCCUUCGCUUGGGCGAGCAGAUCCUGGCACGCUUGGCUUCCUGUCUCGCCAUAAAACAGGCUUUGAGACUUUGGAGCCUUUGCAUGCCUUAAAAACUUUUUGGAACUUUGGUGGUCUGCUCACCUUCGCUUGGUCGAACAGAUCCUGGCAUGCUUGGCUUCCUGUCUCGCCAUAAAACAGGCUUUGAGACUUUGGUUAGCCUUUGCAUGCCUUAGGAAUUUUUACAACGCUUGGGAGUCUGCUCGCCUUCGCUUGGUCGAGCAGAUCCUGGCACGCUUGGCUUCUGGUCUCGCCAUAAACAGGGUUUGAGACUUUGGUGAGCCUUUGCAUGCCUUAAGAAUUUUUACAACGCUUGGGAAUAUGCUCGCCUUCGCUUGGUCGAGCAAAUCCUGGCACGCUUGUCUUCCUGUCUAGCCAUAAAACUGGCUUUGAGACUUUGGAGCCUUUGCAUGCCUUAGAAACUUUUUGGAACUUUGCUGGUCUGCUCACCUUCGCUUGGUUGAGCAGAUCCCUGUGUGCUUGGCUUCCUGUCUCGCCAUAAAACAGGCUUUGAGACUUUGGUUAGCCUUUGCAUGCCUUAGGAAUUUUUACAACGCUUGGGAGUCUGCUCGCCUUCGCUUGGUCGAGCAGAUCCUGGCACGCUUGGCUUCUGGUCUCGCCAUAAACAGGCUUUGAGACUUUGGUGAGCCUUUGCAUGCCUUAAGAAUUUUUGCAACGCUUGGGAAUCUGCUCGCCUUCGCUUGGUCGAGCAAAUCCUGGCACGCUUGGCUUCCUGUCUAGCCAUAAAACAGGCUUUGAGACUUUGGAGCCUUUGCAUGCCUUAGAAACUUUUUAGAACUUUGCUGGUCUGCUCACCUUCGCUUGGUUGAGCAGAUCCUGGCACGCUUGGCUUCUUGUCUGCUCAACGCUAGCCUAGCUCUCUUUCCUUAAAUUAUUAUCAUAUUGAGUAACUUUCAAGAAAUCAAGUUAACUAAGUUAUACCGUCAGCCCUAAUAUGAGCACAAUCAAUUUAAUGAAUAUAAGGCAUCCUCAUAUCACAUAGCAGGAUUUAGAGAAAUAAUUAAAUUUUCAUGAAAAAAUUACUUGUAAAUAAAAAUUUAACUUCUGACAUGUUCUGAUUGCUACAAACGUGUGCCUUCAAUGUACUCUCAUUUAAGGUUUUUGCUUCCUUGUUUAAGCAAGCUCAUCCAUUUACGCACUGUAACAUUCUGAUUUGCUUCGACUAGAUGAAAAUUGAUAAAGACAAAAAAUUGGCUUCUCGUACCGAUCCCUACAGACGGCGCCAAAUGUUGAUGCCGAAAUCCGGAUAAGUUGGUCAGAUCUCAGAUCCCUGCAUCAUCAUUAAAUUUGUUUGGUGGGAAGCUGAUGAUUAGUUAGCACCAUGAGCAGAUUUUCUAUGAGCAGAUGUUCUGUAAGCAGACAACCCAUGAGCAGACAAUCCAUGAACAGACGAUCCAUGAGCAGAGAACUCAUGAGCAGACAAUCUAUGAGCAGAUAACCCGUGAGCAGACGAUCCAUGAGCAGAUAACCCAUGAGCAGACGAUUCAUGAGCAGACAACCCAUGAGCAGACGAUCCAUGAGCAGAUAACCUGUGAGCCUGUGAACACAACCAACAGUCAGGAGGUGCCGGAAGUUUUUCUGGCGAGAACCCUCCGACGCUCAAGUCAGCGAUUCGGGUCUUAUUUGGAAAAACUCAUACCACAAUUCAUGUGGCUUAAUUAUGAUUGCUUUAAACAAAAAGCUUUUAACUAAAUUUAAAGGAAAAGAAUUCAAAAUAAUCAAUCUUAAAGAAAUCACAGGCGAAAGAGAAAUUUCUUUGUGGUAGAGAGAGAAAAAGGUCCCAUGGGUUCAGUUGCUUAGAGAGAGAGAGAGAGAAAGAGAGAAAAAAGGUCCAUUUCCUCAGGUUUUUAUAGGAAAUUAUAGCGGUUUUUAUCAUCUCCCCUAGAAUUCUCAAGAAAACUAUUAAUUUUCAGCCCACUAAGAAUAUGGUCCCUAAUAUUUCGGAGAAAAUAUUUUGACUGAAUCAUGCUUUCUGGUAACUUUUUGGUCGAGGUGACCAAUAACAUCCUAGUCGAGGUGAUGUGCUCGAGGUCACCACAUAUUAUUCUGGUCAAGGUGAUGUGCUCGAGGGCACCACAUAUUAUUCUAGUCGAGGUGACCAAUAACAUCCUGGUCGAGGUGAUAUGCUCGAGGUCACCACAUAUUAUCUGGUCGAGAUGAUCUGCUCAACCAUUUGCUCACUUUUAUUUUAAGGAGAACACGAUAAUGUAUGAGCAAACACCUUUAUCUUGGUCACCUUAUUUCAUUCUCUAAACAAUUAGUAUUUUAAAUAAAUAAACUUAAGCAACUUAAAAUGCUUAAGGAUAUUUUUGAAAUUUUAAAGAGUGUAUAAAAUAAAACUACAAAACUUAUUUUUUUAUAAUUUGUGUAUGAGUAUGCAGAGUAAUAGAAUGUUCAAAGUAAUAUUUAGAGUAUAAAUAACCCUACCCUAAAGAAAUUUAUGUGUGGUAGGGCGCAAUACCUCAUAUUAUUAUUCUAAAAAAAUAUUGGUAAAAAAUUAUUUUUAACUUAGAUAUUAUUAUUUUUCAUUGCAAAUACUGAUUUGAAAGUAUACUAACAAGUAAAGUUGAUAUUAGAGAAACUUGUGUGGGCUAUGAGCACUUUGUCAGCAUGUGCUUGGUUGAUAAGUCUUUUGAUGAAUUUUCCACGUAUUAGAAUUACACUAACAACAAGAAAGCAAGAACUUAAAUAAGUAGUUUGGAAUCGACUUGAGGAUUUAGAUAAAGAAUCUCUUAUUUGAGAUGUGCUUCAAAGGAAAAAGAAUUUAGUUGUGUAAUGAUAAGAAUAUGUUUUUAAAAAGAUAAAAACAUGUUUAUCUAGUUGAUAUUAUAACAUUUAAAAAAAAAAUCAUGAAUUUCACUAUGAAACAUGAAAUCUGUCACAUAAUAAAUUCUUAGGCGACCAUCCUACAUAAUUUUUCCUCCUAUAUAAAUUUAUACAUAAUAUUUUUUAUUAUGUAUAUAAAAAUAUUAUAUAUAUAUUAAACCCUAAAGAUGUCGUUGAGUAUUUUUUAAGUAAUUUUAUUUGAUUGGUCACACAAAUUUAAAUUUAAGAAAAAUAAUAGGUUAAAAAAUGAAUUUAAACGUUGUGCGCUUCCAAUAUAUGUAUAUAUAUAAUACGUAUAAAGAGUACAAGUGAAUUCUUCACGUAUAAAGAAUUGUUCAACCACAACAGUGUCGUGGAUGUAAAUAGCAAGUAUGUGCACAAACAGGAGAGAAAAGAAAGGAAAAAAAUCCCCGAAGUCGGUAUUUUCAAAACGAAAAGCUCUGCCGCUUCGUUGCCCGUUUUGCUUUCUAUAUAUGAAGAUGGCGUCCACGUUGCAGUUGUAUCUCACCAUCAUUAUUACCAAUUCUGCAGACUCUUGAGUCUGUUUCGCAAAACACCCCAAGAUGAUGGAGAAAUUUUUACAAACAUCUUCGUCAGAAAGAAUAAACACUUCCCAAUGGUAUUUACCCGAAACAGGCAUUUAUCACAGCAAGCAUCCCUCUGUUAACCUUCCCGCGAAUGACUCACUUCUUGACGUUGUCUCCUUCAUUUUCUCUCACAAACACAAUGGCCGCACGGCUCUCGUUGAUUCCUUAUCUGGGUACUCAAUCUCUUACCCGCAGCUCUUCCCUUUGGUGCAGUCUGUGGCCUCUGGUCUCCGCCACCACUUUGGCAUUUCACAAGGUGAUGCCGUUUUGCUCCUUUUGCCCAAUUCCAUUUACCUUCCUGUCAUUUUCUUGGCUCUUUUGUACUUGGGUGCUAUUGUAAUUCCAAUGAAUCCAUUGCUUAGUGUUUCAGAAAUCAAGAAACAGGUCACUUUGUGUAAGACCAAGAUAAGUCUUGCAUUUACUAUAUAUGAAAAUGUUGAUAAGUUAAGGUCCUGGGGUACUACUCCUGUUAUUGCUGUGCCUGAAAAUCUUAUUAAUGAUUUUAAAGAAGGUAGAUUUUCUGAUUUUCAUAAGCUCAUUACUGGAAAGUUUGAUUUAGUUGAAAGACCAGUGAUUAGGCAGCAAGAUACAGCUGCAAUUUUGAAUUCAUCUGGUACCACGGGUGCAAGCAAAGGUGCUGUGUUAACCCAUGGGAAUUUUAUAGCUGCGGUUGAGCUUUUUGUGAGGUUUGAGGCUUCACAGUAUGAGUAUUUGAGUUCUGAGGCUGUGUUUUUAGCAGUACUACCAAUGUUCCAUAUAUACGGGCUCUCACUUUUUACUUUAGGAUUGUUGUCGUUGGGGGCUAGUGUUGUUGUGAUGAGGAGGUUUGAAGCCAGUGAGAUGUUAAAAGUGAUAGAUAAAUAUGGAGUUACUCAUUUUCCAGUUGUUCCACCGAUAUUGAUGGCGUUGACAAAAGCAGCAAAGGGUCUUUGUGGAAAUAGCUUGAAGAGUUUGAAGCAGGUUUCUUCUGGGGCAGCUCCUGCAAAUAGCAAGAUCAUUGAGGACUUUGUUGGGGCUUUUCCUCAUGUUGAUUUUAUUCAGGUAAAAUGAGUCCUCUUUUUUUCAUUUUUUGGGUUGAUGAUGCUGGAAUCUUAUUAUUCAGAAAUAUUUAGUUGUGAUUAUGUUUGUUUGCAGGGUUAUGGCAUGACUGAGUCAACUGCAGUAGGAACUCGAGGCUUCAAUACUAAAAAGUUCAGUAAAUACUUUUCAGUUGGACUUCUGGCUCCCAACAUGCAAGCGAAAGUGGUAGAUUGGGUUAAUGGCUGCUUCUUGCCUCCUGGCUCUACCGGUGAACUUUGGCUACGAGGACCUGGAACCAUGAAAGGUGGUGAUAAAUAUUUCUUUGGUUUUCACAAAGUUUUACUACUUGAUGUGCUUACAAGUUUUCUGAUAAAAUUGCCUGAUCCUUCUUGUCCCCAUUUUUUCAGAACAUUACUUACAAUUGUCAUCGCUAUUGGUUUUCUGAGAUUUUUGUCUUAGAUAGCUCCUGUGUUAUUUUAUCUGACAACCAUACCAAUUCAAUAAAGGAACUUUAAAACCUUUCAUGCAGGCUAUCCAGUUUGAUUCCCUCUCCCCAACCCCCCCCCCCCCACAAAAAAAAAAGAGUUUUUAAUGGUGAGUUAUUGUCCUCAAGAUGAACUUUUGCAAUGCUUCAGCUAUUCUUCAUGGCCUAAAUUUGGUUGUGAACUAUUAGUUUGUGUUGCUUAAAGUUUCAUCAUGGCAGCUUCAAUGGUUUGAAACCUUCACAUAUAUAUUCGUGUCUAGUUUGUGCUGUUCUAUUUUCCUUUUCUGAAUUUCAUUCUUAUCCAUGCUUUCUUUCUGCGCUACAAAUAACCUAUCCAUCACGAAGGCUUUUCUAUUUCAAACGUUGUGUAUCAUCAAGAUAUAACUUCUAUAAUGUUCUAAGAUCAUAAAAUAUUCACAUGGUGAAUAUAGUUAUCGCUAGUUUGCAUUAUGUUUUCUUGCAGCUGAAGUCUUGGCUGCCUUCUUAAUUCCUAAUGCAAGUAGAAAUUUGAUAACUUUUCCGCCUACUCUACAGAGUACAUUAAUAAUGCUGACGCAACUAUGUCAACUAUUGAUAAAGAAGGUUGGCUGCAUACUGGAGACAUUGCUUAUUUUGAUGAAGACGGAUACCUAUAUAUAGUUGACCGCUUAAAGGAGGUUAUCAAAUACAAUGGCUAUCAGGUCUAAUAUUUUUAUAUCCAUGGAAUUUUAUUUUGCACCAAGCAUUUGUAUGGCAUAAUGUAAAUAAUCAAGAGUGAAUUAUGUGUUUGAAUUGGGGCGUGUUUUUGAAAUUUUAUAUGGCGGACAAGAUUACAUAAACUGAGUGCAUUAACAUGUCGGAUAUUCCCGGAGUCAUUGCUGAGCUAAGCCGAUUUUGUGAAUGUAAUUUUGAGAUGGAAUUGUAUUAGUCUAUUCCUGCUUGACAAUGUGACUUUUCUGCAGAUUUCUCCUGCUGAUCUAGAAACUGUGCUGAUUUGCCAUCCUGAGAUUCUUGAUGUUGCUGUAACUGGGUAAGCAUCAGUGCAUGCUACAUUUUAUUAUUGAGCAGAGACCAUUUGAAGAUGUUAUGAAAUGCAUACUGUGUCCAAACUCUCUGUCAUUGAUUACAUCCAGUCUCUUCAUUUUCUACAAUUUCAUUGAUUACAUCCAGUCUCUUCAUUUUCUACAAUUUAGAGCCAUGGAUAGAGUGCUUGGGGAGAUACCGGUGGCAUUUGUAGUGAGAAGAGAUGGAAGCACACUAACUGAGGCUGCUGUUAUCGACUAUAUUGCUCAACGGGUUUCUUUUGACUAAACAAUUUUCAUUGUUUUACUAAAUAAACAUGAGGAGCAAACUAAUAAAGCAUUCAAAUCUCUGUUUCUCUCUUCGGCAGGUUGCUCCAUACAAAAAGGUGAGGAGGGUGGUUUUUACAAAGUCGAUACCCAAGUCUGCUGCUGGGAAGGUCCUCCGGAGAGAACUUAGGAAAUUUUUAACUUCUAAACUUUAGGAAUGAAUUAGAUUGUAGGCAUUGUUAACUCAAUGCUAUAUGUCAGGGUCAAAUUCGUUUAUCUUUCUGCUACCAUAAGAUAUGUAUUGUAAUUAAUUUGAUAUACAGAGAAAUGGCAUCUCAUUUUCAGUUUGCGGAUAGACAGCCUUCAGCCUUUUGUUUCAAAUAUGAUGGGAAAGUAACAAAAUUGAGUAAAAUAAUUUUCAAACACCAUGGCAUUGAUCACCAGCCAGAAAAGUUGGAACUUCUAAGUUAACAGCAUAACCUAAUUAACUUCACAUUGAAACAGGGAAAAAAAAAAAAAAAACUAGAUUGGUUAGGAAUUCUUGUUGGCAGAUUAGCACCUCCGACAUUGACUUAACUUUCAUAAUGAUAGGCAUAAUGGGAUGGCGAUGAUGGAGGAAAAAUGUAGUCAGAUGGGUAGGUGGGAUUAUAGGCAUGCUGAGGAGGAGAAGUGGGAUGAUAAACAUGAUGUUGAGGGGAAGUGGGACGAUAAACAUUUUGAGGCCGGGAGGUGGGAUGAUCAACAUGCUGGGAUGGCGAAGGGGAACUUAGUUCGCUGGUUAUGGGGCUUGCAGUGCGAACUUGUUGUUUGUCCACUCUAACCUCCACCAAUUCCUCUUCCUCAAACGACUGGAAAAUCGGAUGCAGGUAUGCAUCUGCCAAGUAUGCCUUUAAGUUUAUUUCAGGUUCUGUAGUUCGAUCCAGUCUGUCUUUAGCCAUUGCCUCCUGAAGAAGAAAAUAGAGGAACAUAAAGUCAUUGAUAGGCAUAAUCAUGUUCACCUAUGCUUUCAGAAUCAGAAGAUUUUUGUAACUUAGGCAAACAGUGUGGAUGUUAAAUCUGUAAGUAGCUCUUAAAAUCGGGGAUGUAAAAAUGCAAAAUUUUAAUCUUUCCUACUUCUCAUAACCUGCACAACUAAGUUGGAAUUUUAACGUUAAAAUUUCCUUUAUACUUUAAGGCUAACAGGAAAACUUGAAACUAAAUACAGGAUAUGGCCAACUUUACGACUAGGGCUCAAGACAUCUGCCAAAAGAAAAAGCUGGGUGCUGAACAUGGAGUAACAAUGAAAUGUGCUAUGCAGAAGUGAAUAAUGUAAUCAGGACAACCACUGGGUAUCUUAUAAGAGCAGUUAUCAGAAAGAUUUGUUUGGCAUUAAUCAACCGAUUUUAAAGCAUGGAGCUUACCUCAAUUGGGUACUUUCUAAAUGCAGGUUCAAAGCGACUUUUGCAGUACUUGUGGAAUGCUAAUGUCAAUAUUGGCAAUACAACAAGAAAUGGAGUGGAAUUAGCAGCCUCUUUUGUACUCAGCAGACCCAACAACAGCAGUUGAGAUAGCAAUAAGCUUGCUAUUAUGCGGCUAUGAACAUGCGGCCAGAAUGCACCAGCACUCUCAUAUUGUUGAUUGUAGACAUUGAUUAUCUGCACAAUUGGGGUAGCAUUUCAAUGUUGUAUGUAGAACAAUGCUUACAAAUUCACCUUUUAUACAAAGCAAUUACAUAAUGCAGGAAACAAUCCUACAAACAUAUAUUGUGCUUGAUGACAACAAAAGAUUUCUUUAAAUUAUUUUCCAUAUUGAUUAAUUGCAGACAACCUUAAAUUUAGGAUUGAUAUUCUGAGUUCUGUAUUGGGUAUUAUAACUAAUAUUUGGUUGUAAAGAAUGCUAGAUCAUUAAGCUUAAGACAUUCCAAUUGUUCUGUUCAAUUUAUAUACAUUGUGAAUAACAUGCUUCAAGAAAUUCAUGAGCACAAGUCAGACAACCAAUAUACAUCUUCUAAACAAAAAUAAUAAGCGAAUAAACUGACCUGGUGACGAUAAACCAAGUAUGCUAAGCCAAAGAACACUAGCAUAAAAGGAAGAAGGAUUGGUGUAAUCACGGCAUACACAAUCCCCAAAAGAAAGUAAAGUUGGAGACUGGGGAUGGUUUCAGGGAAAUCCACGCUACCAGGAUCCAUAGCCUUUUCUCUGUCUCUCUCUGUCUUGACCAGAAACAGGUUCUUGAGAUGAAAGAUGACCAAUGGCUUCAGUCGGAGAAUCUCACUAGCAAUGCCAGCCCAUCCAUCAACCAUUAUAUAUGUAAUAAAGAAUGUGGCCUUCAUUGGUAUGGACACCCCAAUGGUUCUUGGAAUCCUGCAAAAGGAAAAAAGAAAAUUAACACACAUUUAAACUGCUAAAGAAGCAUAAUAGCUGAAGUUUUACAAAAAAGAAAACAAAUAAAAUAUGCUUAUAUUUAUUUAGUCAAGAAUAAUAUUGCGUAAAUGACAUCAGAUAAACUUUGCGUUCUACUAAAACCACUAGGUGUGUAAUAAAGCUCUAUACGACAUUGCGACUUUACAUUACAAAGAAAUCCAAAAAUGAUACAAUUUGUUCAUAUGAAGGAAAAAUCAAAAGCCGACUAAAAUUUCUCAUACUCUCAUGAAUUAGUUAUCUCUCAUAUGCCAAUAAUUCCCCCAUGCUUAUGCAAUACAUCAAGUAUGACGAAGCAACUCUCAAUUUAAUUUCCUGUAUAGGACUAACUUAAAACAAUUGAUCAUUCCUUUAACCUACCGUGGAAGUUGAGGAAACUGUUAUAUCAACAUACAACAGCAUAAUAUGUAACAUAAAUUUUCAAACAUGGAAUAUAAAACGUUACUGGGUGGGUGAUUGAUGAAGGAAAGAGUCCAAUUGCUCGAAUGCUGUUCCAGUUGCAAUACUUCCCAAGAAGACGUUCACCAACAUAAAAUAAUAGUACUUAGCUGACGUCCUCCGUUCCAAAUUUGAUAAAGCUAUAUGUCCUUCAAUCUUUGACAUGAUCAUCAAAAUUGUAGGAAGUAUGUACAAAAAGAUUUUAAGAGCAAGACCAGGAACAAAACCCUGAAGGAAUGAUUUGAUGAAUUUCCUGCAAAAUAGUGGCAGUUAUUUGUCUUUUUUUUUUUCAAUUAACAGGAAAAAAAAAAUCAAAGACACAUUAUCUAUAUAGCCACUAUGAAGGUGUAACAUAUGAAAAAGCCAUACCACCAUAAUACAGCCUUUAAUGAAAUUAGCACAAGAAACGUUUUCACAUCAGCAAGUUAAUCUUUCACAAAAAAAAAGAAAAAUGUAAUAGAAAAUUAGGAUUAAGAUUAGUUUACUUACAAUUCUAUUACUGGCCUGAGGACUGGAGCAACUCUUUCAAGCCCCUCCAGAUUUGCAAGAGAUUGCACAAAAGCAAUGGGUAUCAUAUAGAAAAAAACUAAGGCAAACACGGAGACUGAUAUUAUAAAUUUCCGGAUGGUUAAUGAAACAAACGGUAUAGCCAAAUUUCUCCAAUAAAUAUCACGAGGUUCUGGAGCCCAAUUUGUUAACCAUAGAGUGGGAUUCUUGCAUUGUUGUGUCUGUGCACAAACAGCAGCCCCCCAACGUGAUUUAAAUGAAACAAAAGCAACUGGAAGAAUAGAUUUUGAGUCUUUCAGAAUUUUUUGCCGCUCCACUGACAUCUGAAUGGGUACAAAUGAACAACAUACCUCUAUUAGUACUAGUGAACCAAAACAUGGGGGCAAGAAGCUAUGUGUUGCACAGAGUUGAUUAAACUAAAAUUCAAUGAAAUUUUCAGAUUUUCAUUUAUUUCAGAGUUUUCCUUCAAGUGAUCCAUGUAUAAGAUCAAGAAAAUUGAGUAGUUGUAGACAAAAUAGAAGUAAUAACUUACUCUUCUCUCAAGCUCCUUCAUUUGGUGCUUGUAGUAGUCAAUUGCAUCAACUUUUUUGCCCCAAAGGCCCAAAAAUCCCAUCUGAAAAUGAGAAGCAUUUGAAGCAUCAAAACUAAUAAGUACUAACAAAUCGAUUGGUAGCUUAGGGUUAUCAAACAGCCCAAGGAAUUAUACAAGUUAUAUCCAAGUGACUGUACCAUCAUGUUUAUAAAAUUACUACCUUUGUAGUUGGCUUCUUCUCUGGAUGUCUCUCAAACUUUAGUUGGUUAUAGUCCAACCAAUUCCGAAGCCUCUCUCUCUUUCUCACCAACUUGGCAAAUUUGUUUGCAUUGUAGACAGCCUGAAGCAAGAAAGAAUCCCAUCAUGAAUGAAGACAAGACAAAUCAUUUUAAUAUGAAAGAAACUAAUAAAAGGACUUUUAAUGAGAAAUCAUUUCAAUAAGAAAGGAACUUAAUGAAAGUUCUAUAACCUGGUGACAAAGAUAAUGAUCAGGAUGAUUUGUUUGAAAGAAAUGGUCUAUAGUUUCUGAUAACGAUUGACCAGAAACAUGUGGAACAUUCCUGACCACCACCUGCAAGGAAAUAAACAAUCCAGACACUUUAAAGCACUUGUCAAAAAUUAUUGUGAUAAACACUAAAUAGAUUUCAGUUUGAAGAGAAUGUUUGGACAUUACUACUCAGAUACAAUCAUAACCAAAACUGAAAAUAUGUAGAACCUAUUUCUUUAAUAAAACUUCCAUUCGAUUGUACACAAAAUAAAAAGAGAAAAAAGCAUUGAACGUAGUAGCUGACUAUAAAAUUUGAACAUUAUAAACUUAGAAAACACUUUAGCUCGAGCAAAUGGAAACGUUAACAGAGUAGGCUACCUUUUCCACCGCUGGUAACUAACAAUUUGCCGGUAAGUCUAAGAGUGAAAAUCCUAGAUCCUUAUUUGGCAUCCAUUUGCCUAAAUGUAUUAAAAGGUUAAACUCCAAAAGGUACAAACUUCCAAAAUGCAGAUCAUAGAUGCAUAAUAAGAUCUCUAAGGAUAUGAAAACAACAACGUGCAAUUUUGACUGUCAAACAUACAUGAUGAACAAUCAUAUGACAGUUGGAUCUUGAUUUCUAGCAUGCAUUAAAAGCUCUUCUUGGGUCAAUUAGGAAGCAAUAGGUCAACUCACUGUGAACUGUUCUGCACGCCUUGCUUGUGAAGCCAAGAAGCGCAGCCUCAUUGAUGCUACGAUAUCAUAUUCUUUGUAAAGCAUGAAACAAAUCCAUAUGGUGAACAGGUAUUCCAAUCCUAUAUGGACAAAAAAUCUGAAAUUCAAACAUAAUGCUUCUUUAGAAAAUUGAUAUGGUAUACAGCAAUAAUUUAUUGAAACUUAAAUGGCAAGGAAAAUGAUACCAGCAUAAAACAAUAUUGUUCCCGCAUUUUAAACUAGAAACGUGUGAACAAGAAGAGUUUUUCUUCCACAAAAUGGUGAUUUGACAAGUUCAGAUUGUAAGAGUAAAUGAUAAUAACGCAUCAGGUAAAUAAAUUUUGGUUCUACAUACUGUACAAUUAUGUUUGAUUUGGGAGAAUCAAAGUUACCUUAUGGAUUUAGGGCGAACAUUAGAUAUUGAAAGCUUGUCAAUAUCACUCACAACCAAUUCUUUCCUCAAAAAGAAUAGCGUUCCACUUGAUACAUUGACCGGAAUAAGGACAAGGAGCGCCACUAUUGUCAUUGGUACAAAAAUCUUGAGGCUGUCAGACCAAACAGAAAAGACUAAUUAUAACAACGAACAAUGACAAUUAAAGCCUCAGGUUACUCUUAAGUUACAGAGUAACAGCCAAGUUUACAAUGUAAUAGACAAUAUAAAAAAUUGUCAAGAAUGGGCCAACACUUGAUUCAGGUCCUGUAAAUUCACUUUUAAACUCAUUCCUCAACUAAAUUUAGCUCCAAUUUGAAUUAAUGCUCCCACUAAAAGGAAAUGCAAACAGAAAUAGUAGACAUGGAAGCCACAACCAGAUUGACCAAUGUACUCAUAGGGAGUAUUUGUGCCGUCUCAUCCUCAGGUUCUAUAGAACUGGCUAGUUUAGCAAUUCCAAUUUACAAUAAAAUUUGCUAACUAACAUAGCCACCAGGUGAGACAACACUUUAGUAGAAAGCAUCCUUUGAUGAUUUUUUUUUAGGGGGUUUUAAAUCCAUCCUCCAAGAUUAUAAGUACACAUCAUCUAAUAAGCGCUCAUAAAAAAUUAAAGAGGAUACACAUAGUAAUAGGAGAAAGAAACAGCAAACUGAACAGUGGAUUAAAACAAAGACAUCGCACCCAACUUUUAGCAUGACUUUAAUCAUUCCAAGUUAUAAUUUUUUUUCUUUUUGGUUACAAAGGUAAAACGGAGCACUUGAAACCCUACAGAUUAAAGGAAAUAAAUAAUAGAGGGAACAGAGGUUGUCCAUAAUGCAUAGGAGGACAAACUAUCACAACACAAAGAUUCAGCAGAGGUUUCCAAUUAAACCCAUUCCAGAGUACAAAAGCAGCAGAAGUAAUAAUAUUAUACCCAUAUUGCAUUAAAUAGCAUGAACAAUUGUACACUUGCUAGGAUGCAUACUGAAGGUUAUCAAAAAGUUCUUCAAUUUUGUGAAGAAUCAACCAAUAUCCAGACCAAAAACGUACUAAAACAGAGUAAGAAAAUUAAGUUUCCCACAGUGUUUUAAGCUGCUAAAAAAGUUGAAAAAUUAAAUUUUGUUAACAAAAAGAGAAGACACCCAAAAAGUGAAAAGGCAAUGAGAAUCGAAUUAUAACAAAUGCAGGAAAAGAGAGAGAUAAAGAGAGUACCCAAGAGUGUAAAUUCUCAAGAAAACAGCAGAGUCGAGGCCAGCAUGAUUGAUAAUCUCAGACUCAGUCAUCUUCAAAGCCUGAGGCAUCCAGUUCAAGAAAGUAAGAUACGUCUUGAAUUCCAAAUUAACGAACUUGCCCACAAAGUUCCUAGACCUCCUGGGGCUGCUUCUAGCCCCAUUGAUGUACCACUUGGGAAAGUAAAUUCUGUCAUUGAUGGGUUGAAUUCUCAGCAAAGCAAAAGCCAACAAAAAUGCAAAAGCAGAUAGUAUGUUGAUCAAUGCAGACACCCCAAUAUCACCAAGAGUAGCCAUUGGAACGAACACAAACAACAAAGAAAGAAGAAACUAGAGGUUAUCUGAAGAAUGGUUUGAAGUAACACAGAAAGGAAAGAAUAUUUUUUCUGUUUUUCCUUUUUUAAUUUUUAGUUUUUUAUUACAAGAAAUUGACAAAGUUGGGGUGCAGUGGCCCUUACUGCCUAAUGGAGUUUGAUAUGUUAAAAGGGUGUUACCCACUUUCCAUUCUUUUUUCAUUACACCACAAGUGAUGUGUUUUUUGUUUAAUGAAAAAUGUUUUGUUGUGUUGUCUUGUUUCGGUUUCCUUCGGGAUUUGGAAGUAUUUUGACUAGCAGAGUUGUUCAUGACAUGUGCAUGUGAAAAGUGAAGUCAUUUGUUAUUAAUUUUUUUGAUCUUUUUGGGAUGAGAGAGAAAGGAGGCGGUGGACCUGCGGGUAACUGGUAUUGCUUAUUGUGCUUGCCGAUGCUGGUAAUCUUUUGUUCCCUGUUGAAGCCAUGUGGCUAAAGAAUGGAUUGAUUGCAAUGAAACCCCUGAAAUUUAUCAUAAUGAUAGAAGGAUUCAAAAGGUUUAUAUAUAUUGCAAUUUAGAUGGAUUGCAUGGAAAUACUCUUAAAUUUAACUUAAAAAUAGAUUAUUCAAAUUGAAAUUUUGAACUCCAGUUGUUUAAGUUUAAUGAAAUAUUUCGAGCACAACCAUCUAACCAUGAGUUUAAGCUGUUAAACCUUAAAUUCUCGAACCUACGCUAAUAUUUUUAAUGUUUUUAAUUAUCUUUACUCUCGAUAUAAUCUAUAAAACAAGAUGAUAGUCUACAUACAAAUAUAAAUAAUUAGUUUUGGAUAUUAUAUAUAGAUUAUGUAUAUUAUAGAAUCUUUUAAAUUAAUAUUAGUAUUAACCAUCUUUUUUUCCUCUGUUUGAAAGCUAAAUUUAUCAAAUUUUAACUAUCUUUUUUUUUUAUUAAUGUAACGUCAUUUUCAUAUAUAUAUAUAUAUAUAUAUAAUAAACACAUAAUAAUUUUUUUAAUUCAACAUGAAAAAGAUAUAUAACAAGGUCGAUGGGUAGUAAGUAGAUAAUGUUUAAUAUUUGACACCACGUAACUUGAUUAUCUCAAAGAAAGAGUGGAUUCAAAUGCACCAAUCAAUUCUUAGUUUAUAAAUAUAAUAUCCUUAUAUCUUGUUCUGAUAUUAUUACAGAUUCAGGGGAUCUCGAUGAAAUUAUUCCUUCGCACAUGAUUCCAGCAAUCUUUCACCUCCAUCUUUUGCACGCGGUGGAAAGCUGGAUGUAAUCAUGAAAGCAUGCCUACGUUACCGCCUUAAAAUCAGCAGAUCCUUUUAAUAUUUAAAUGCCGUUUUUGUUUUAAUUUUACUUUGCAUGAAAAUAUUUCUACCUUAAUCUCUCCUUAAUUAAUUAUGAUUAGAUUCUUUUCUACGAAAACAAUGCGGAACCCAAUUCACAAAACAAUCUUAAUAUUUAUUGCCACAAUAUCAUUUAUUAGGUUUAUUUAAAAAAAUUAUUUUUAUGUUAUGCAAAAAGCCAAAUGCGGUGUUUUCCGUACUUGAAAUAAUAAUAAUAAAAAAUAUGAUGCUAAUUUUAUUGGGUUUAAAUCCUAUAUUACACACACACACACACACUAAUCUAUAUAAUUUUUAGUUAAAAGAAUUACUUACAUGGAUUAAACUGUUCUUCUAAACCGUUUAAAUAAUUAAAAUAGUAAACAGUUUUGUGAAUAAAUUAAGCUAGGGUUGAUAUUUUGUUGGGAGUAUAUAAAACGCAAACAAAAAAAUUUAGUCUCCAUUUUGGCUAUUUGCCAACUAAUAAGACAAGACUCAUAAAAUGUCCAUAUUAUUUCUUAUGCUUCAAUUUGUCCUUUUUUUUUUUUACUAUCAUUUCUUUAUUUCGAAUAGAUAUUGUUAGUUAGUUAUUUAUGCCAUAACACAACAGCGAAAUUGGAUCAUCGAAUGAAGCAUUAUUAUUAAGCUACAGCUUUUAGUAGUGGUACAUGAAUUUAGAAUUAGAAAACACUAAUUGUCGUUUCAUUGUAACAUGUCUAUGACUGUAUAAUGUUAUGCUUGGGCUAUAAUCUUGUUAUGAAUCCAUCAAUUUAUGUAACUUGAUAACUUGACAACACAUAACCCACAUAGGCUUGUCAUGAUAAGAUAAAAUCAUUUUUAACAGCCUCUAAAGAUUUCAUUGAGUGGUUUUAAAUAGUUUUAUUUAAUUAAUCGCUUAAAUUUUAAAUCUUAAAGAAAUAGGGACUUAAAAAAAAUGAUUUAGGCAGGUAAAUCAAAUAAUGGGCAGUUUUUAAAGUUUAUAGUAAUCACAAAUUGACAAACAAGUUGUUGCAAUAGGAUGUGGGAAAGCUCAGCGUCCUUAUCAUUGGCGAAUGGUGUGACUACAGAUUCUAUAUAUCCGUGACAAAAAGUUAAAACUAUAUCUUUGUUUCUUCUAAAGCCAUUUCCAGCAUGUUCCAUCAACAUGUGAUGACAGUCUGUCAGCAUUUCCAAAUAGUCGAAAUUAUUCGAUCAAUCAAAGAUAAGUUCACAAAUACAUUCUCAAAUUUUUACAAGUUUCUACGUUUCUUACAAUUUAUUCCAUACAAUUGCAUUACAGUCAACCAACAAAAAAAUAAAAAUAAAGAAUACUUGAUACAACAAGGACACCACUAGCAUGAGAUAUAAAAGAAAACAAAAUAUGAACCAGAUUUAGUCUUGAUUGCUAUUCAAGACGCGCUAAAUGGUACAAUCUGGAAAUGAAAAUGGUAACUGCUGGGUGCCACUAAAACUAAUAUUACAGAUACAAUAAUGUACACUACUCCGAAGAGCCGAUGGAACAACCUCACGAUGGCUUCAGUCCUUUCACCGCCGCAGCAAAAAUCUAAAAUGUCACAAACAGAUACAUCAUAUAAUGCAAUUCAUAUAGCAAGAUUGUCCAACCAACUUCAUAGUUAAAGAGAUACCACUUGGUGAGAGUGUACAUACCCUUGAUCAUUGAUAUUAGUUCAGUUAUGCAAGAAAUACCGUAUGCUAUGUUUAGCAACUAUUAAACACUCCACAUAGCAAACAUUAAAUGUAGAAUGCAAAACAUGAUUCAAAAACAACAUAUAUAUUACAUUAAAAAAAUAACGUACAUAACCCACACAUACCAGUUAUUCUAAGAUAUAACCAAUAGGCUAAUCAAGCAUUAUACACUUACAACACCAGGUGAAGUACUACAAUUUUGCUUCAAUUCACAGUAGAAUAGCUAUUUGCUUUGCAAAAGUUCAUAUGGCAUGAAACAAAGCAGCCUUGAAAGAUUAUUGAAUAAAAUAGGAAUCCUUCCAUAUGUUUAGAAGAAGAGUUCUGGAGCAGUUGCAAUCAUCCAGUUGUUCCAUCAUGCAUGGAGGUCCUACAAUUGUUCUGAUAAAUCCUAUGAGGUUUUUAGUAGAGACAGAGCACAUUUUCAAGAACUUAGAUAACCCACAUAGGGAUCAAGGCUACAGGACCUAAAAUGUGAGAUCAGCAUCAAUAAUGAUCUGAAUCAAAUUGGAUUGAUGUUAGAUACUUUGAUGGACUAAAAGGUUGUUGAACUCACUGCCACAUAAAAUCCAUGUUAAGGAAUCACCAUGUCUAUUCCAAUUUUUUUUUUUUUUUGGGUUUUAAUCUCAUAUAUGUGUGUUUUUGCUCAAAUGAACGAGUUUUCCCAAAUAACCAAACAAAGAUUAGAAAAAUGAUAGACAAAUAGGAAAAGCUACAUACUCUGGACGGUGCUCCAGGAUCCUGUUUCAACUGUCCACGGGGUUGAUCGUGGCUACUGCUUUCCUCAUGCUCGAUGAGAUUCCUUUCUCCGUUCUCAGCCAAUGCUGAAGUUCCCUGGUUAAAAGCAUCACCAUCUGAAGAUUUUUUCUUUGAUCCACUUCUUAAGGCAUAAGGUUUUUCAUCUUGCAUAACAUUAGUGAGGAGAUCUUGGUUCUUUUUAUUGAACUGUGUUGCUGCUGCUCGUGCACCAGCGAUGGCUGCAUUGAGAGUGGAUGAUUUCUCCACUGCAGUUGAUUUAUUUUCGGGGAAAUUUGUAGACAUAGAUCCUGGCUUCAAAGAAAAAGGAUCUUGUGCAUCUGGAAGUGGAAACUUCACAGGCAGUGGACCUUUAACAGGGGUAAGACCCCUAACAGCAGCUUCAUACACCUGUGACAGGAAUAGAAGUCAGUCCCUGUUUAAACAAAAUGCAAGAGACACAGGCACCAAAUUUUUGCAUCUCAUGUACCUUCUUUUCCAAGUUAUAAACACCCUGAUACCCUCGCAUUUCAAAUGGAACUAAUAGUUUCUGCAUUUGUUUGAGUCAGAAACGAUUCAUCAAAAGUUCAAUGUUCAUCAAAUGGUAAUCUAUAGCAGGGUGAAAGCACUCACUUGAGGAUUUUCACAAAGCCAGCAAAAAUCUGUUUGUGCUUCUAACCUCACCUGUCCCACAAAAUUGGUAUAAAUUAGUCAGCAUACUCAUUGUACAUUAUUAAGUUGAUAAUAUAGGGAACAAAAUGAUCAGGGGAGUAAAUAGCUAACCCCUUCAGGUACCACUUCCCAGCUUGCUAGUUCUUCGCAGCGAACGCAGCCGACUACUUCAACACACCCUACAUAUUUAGAUAUGUCAAAAAUUGGAGAAAAAAAAAAAAAAGCAAUACUAUUGUCUCUAUAAUUUCUCCAACGUGAUUUCCAUUCUAGCUUAAUAGUAAGAGGAGCCAUAAAACACUCAGGACCGUCUCUCACUUGAAAUUGGAAAGAACUUCAAUAAUUUGGUAAAACAACUUCAUUACACAUUUCCCCUCACCUCAUACGCCAUCCAAUUUCUCUCUGCAAGCAAUGUCCUGACUUACCGUGACUUUUGCAUAUAGACCAUCAGAAGGAUACACACAUAACACAACAUAGAGAGUGAAAGCUUGUGUGAGAUUAUCAAUGAAAAUGAAAAGCAGCUAAGUGGACCCAAUAGUCCACCAAAUUCAAGUCAAACUUGAAUCUGAGCUUCAAAGCUUUGUUUAAGACCAGAUAUUGUUAAUUUUCACAUCUUUUGCAAAGCUAGUGGCAUCAAUACGAUAAUUAGGUGACAACUAAGAAUCCGUUUGACUUAGCAGUUUGGCAAGCCGCGGGUCUAAAAGUGUUUGGUAAACUUGCAGAUAGCUUAGAAGUUAAAGUGAUUCCCACAGUCAUUUGACUAAAAAAAUCACUAAAAUUCUAAAAAUCUGCCAAGGAAUGGAGCCUCAGGAGCUCGAACAACGAGGGCGUGAAUUCACCACUUGGCGACCGUGAUGAAAAACUCAAUAUCUUUACUAUUUUCAUCAAAACUGUUUAUUUUCAUCCAAAUUUUUCACAUUUUAUUUUGCAGCAGCUGUGGCUCGAAGUCUGAAGCCUACCUACGUUUAUUCUCGAAUAUUUGUAAAUUUGUAACAUGAAGAAAAAAUUAGCAAAAUAACGAGUACCUAAAAGUCUUGAAACUGGAUAAUGUUGGGGAAACUGAAGAUCAGUGAUCCCAUUGACUGCAUAAAUUUCCCUGUAAAAUUCUUCCAUUGCUUUGAUGGUAGCUUCUUCGGGAAUCUUGCUAGCAGCAUGAAUCCAUAGACGGCCUUCACAGUCACAAAGACAAUAUAAAUUAAUUAUUUAAUGCCGCUACUAUUUAAACAAGUCUUAACAACAAUUAAAUAAUUAAUUACUUAAUUAAUUAUUAAGAGUAUGAGAGCAAAUUAUAUUUAUAUACCUCGAAGAGGAGCAGGCCAAGACCUGCCUUCAACGCGCUUGAUCCCGUAAACGAGGAGUGAAGCCCAUGGUUGAUGCAUCGUCAAACACGGGUUCGUGUAGUUCCCUUGCUUUCUUACUCCUCUCAUCUCUUUCUCUGUGUUUGGUUCCCGGGAGAAUCAAUCGGAAAAUUUCACACUACUUGUCUCCCAGAAGGAAUCUGUUCUUUUUCCUUUAAACUCGCAAGGCUUAUACAUUGUUUAAAUAAUAAAUAUGUAGCAAUAGUCACGUGCAAUAACAGACGUACACGUGCUAGCCCCAAUCAUAAUUAGAGCGGAUAAAAUUUGAAAUUUUGGUAAGAAUAAAUGAGUUUGAGUAAAAAACAUUAGAAAAAAGCUUUUUACUAAAAAAAAGCUCUUUUUAUUCAUGAGGUUUGAUGUAAUAGGGGCAAAGCUAUCUUGCAACAUGCGUUUGGUACCCCUCUCUUUUGUCUUUUUCAAGGUCAAUUAUAAUAAUGUCCUGCUAUUUGUUAUAAAAAUAAAAAUGCUAAAAUUUUUUAAAGUUUUACGCAUUAGUCCUACAUCUACAUAACAUCAUUUUUCUCAUCCAUUUUGCACCAUCAAUGACAUCAUUUUUCUCACCCAUUUUAAUUAAAAGGUAAUUAAAAUUAUUUUCCAUAUAGAAACAGAAUAAUAAAAUAAAAUUUUUUAUUAUUUAUUUUUUAAUUAAUUAUAAAAAGAUAUUUGUAUUAAAAAAUAUAGACAAUCACUAAUAACCAUUGUUUCUUCAAGUGCAAUGACAUUAUUAAUCGAAAGGGGAUAUGAAGGGUUCCAUUAGCCUUGAAAUUAGAUGAUCUACAUAAAGAUAGUCUCAAUGCUAGCAAAUGCUGAUAUAUAAAGUUGCAUGCUCCUUCUAAAAUAGCUGCAACAAUAACUAUACCACAAAAACACAAGGAGUUACAUUACACUACCACCUUUUUUUUAUUAUUAAUUUAGAGACCCUCAAUUUGGUUGUUAAAGACAAUGAACCUUAAAACGUGAUGUAGGAAGCAUAUUAAAUAAAAUAAAUUAGAAUUUAUUAGAAAUUAUAAUAUUUGGGUCAAUUUAGAAUUUAGUAUUUUAUUAAGAUUUAUCUUAUUUUAUUAAGCUUACUUGAGUCAUAUUUGUAAUUCUAAUCUAAUUAAGAUUUUAGAUUAUUUUUCUUAUUUAAGAAAGAUUAGGAUUAAGUUAGCUAUUAUUAUAUAUACAAGCUUGUUAUUCUUAAUUUAUAAUAACAGACACAAGUUUCUCAUUAAUAAUAUUCAAUUUUUUCACAAUUGAGAUAUCUUCUCUUUGCUGAGAGCUUUUUUUUUUUUAAAAAAAAUUUCAAGACAUAAAUGAUGUUAGAGCUUUUUAAGUUUUCAAGACAUAAAUGAUAUUAGAGCUUUUUUUUGUACCAGGCAGAGCAUUCUUGACCACCAACUCCAUACAUUAGUUCCAUCAAGUUAAAAAAAAAAAAAAAAAAACCUAGCAAAACCCGAAGCCGCCAUCACAUCCGCCACACAUGGUGUUGCCGCCACCGGUUUCUCUUCUUUUCGGUCGAUCCUCUCUCCCAUCCGAAAGCGCACACACCCAACCCAUAACACCACCAUCCCGUCACCGUAGCCACGGGAAACUAGCCAAAACAGCCGCUGAACCACCACGAAAAUCCGCCUCUCCAUUCGUUGCAAUUCGCCGCGAUUCACGGCCUCCACCACCACCCAUUCGUCCACCAUCAUCAGCUCUUUCUUUUCAACCCACUCACGCUGCCAACCCCCGGUCGAAUCGCCGGAAACCGAAACCAACCUCCACCCGCAAAUUUAACUCAACUUUUCGGUCAAAUCACAACUAUUUGAGACAAACCACCACCAGCAUCACACUCAGCACCAUCAAAUCUUCCAAAUCCACCUAUCCUAGGCCAAUUUUUCGACGGCCGUCGUUGGCGACACCAACUUUUGCCUAUUUAUAAUUUUUCCCCUUUACUUUUCUAUACUUAUACUAUUACCUAUAAUUUUAUGUUCUUUAAAAAAAAAAACCAAAAACCAAACAAACUUAUAAAAAAAUGAAUAAAUUAGAAAUUUACUAGGAAUUAUAAUAUUUGGGUCAAUUUAGUAUUUAGUAUUUUAUUAGAAUUUAUCUUAUUUUAUUAAGCUUACUUGAGUCAUAUUUGUAAUUCUAAUCUAAUUAGGAUUUUAGAUUAUUUCUCUUAUUUGAAAAAGAUAAUGUUUAAGUUAGCUACUAUUAUAUAUAUAGGCUUGUUAUUCUUAAUUUAUGAUAACAGACACAAGCUUCUCAUUAAUAAAAUUUAAUUUUUUCUUAAUUGAAAUAUAUUCUCUUUGGUGAGAGUUUCUUUCUUGAGUUUUCAAGACGUAUGCUAGAACGAAAUCUAGUAUUGCUUCCCCCCUGUGUUAAAACGUCAUCUAAUCAUAAGGUCUUAUUAUAGUUGUUUGCAUUGGAAGGCUCAUCUAUCGCCGGCAUAUCUAGUUAUCCAUCAACAUUGCCACCAUUACAUUGAUCAGAGAAUUUUGAAUACGUUGAUAGUUUUUUUUUUUUUUUGUUUACUCACUUCUAUUUCUUAGUGAUGAUACCGUUAUUGUUGUCAUUGAUGGUGCAAUAAUUUUUAGCAAUAUUAUUUUGAUUUUUCAUUUGAUUUACAAAACUUAAAAUAUUAAAUAUAAUACUCAAUUUUAGUCUCAUACACUUAAAUAUUAUUAAUAUUCAAGUUCAUGGAUGGAUAUUGAAUAAACCAAAUCCGGAGUAUUUUAGAUGGAUAUUAUCCAAUCUAUUUGGAUCAGAUACUUAGACAUCCAACUUGAAUGGAUUUGUUUGCUCUUUCUAGCUGUUAACUAGAUUAAUAAUUUUAUUGGGUUUGGUUUUAAAACUCCUAAUAUGAUAACUCAUUCAUGACACAAUUAAUUAUUCAAUUAAUUAUAUUAAUUGACUUCUAUUUUAAUUGAUAGAUAUGUGUUAAAUUGACAUCUCUAUUGUUAUCCAUGUGUGAUGUUAGCAAGAAAGAAGAAAGAAGAAAGAAUAGAAAAUACGUAUUUUUAGAUUAUUUUCAAAUAGAGUAAUUGUUUAGAAAUUUUUUACCCUUUUCUUAGAUCAGUUAAUGACUAUUUAAAUAGUUGGGGUGGAGUAACAAACACCAAUUUAUUUAAGUGUGCAAUUAAAUUAUUAUUUUUUAUUUUAAGGACAAAAACUCAUUGUUAAAAAAAAGAUUUUACAAGUUCAUAAACUAACACUUUAUUAUUAUUAGUAAAUUAACAUAUUUUUACUAAAUCAUUAAAUAAUUGAUAGUAUGUUUAAUAAAUAUUAUGUUACAAAAAAAAUUAACUAUAUAGAAUGUGAAAUUAAAUUUAUUUUUGUAUUUUGUAUAUUUCAUCUACUUGAGAUAAUAAAAUCUCUUGUGUUGAAAGAAAAAAUUAUGGGUUUUGAACCUUAUUCACAUAGGUGAGAGGAAAUUAGUUGCCAUUAUGUUAAAUUAAAAAAAAGAUCAUAUUUAUACUUAUCAUUAAUUAUGGUUAGUACAUAAUAUACAUAGUUUAACUAUAUAAUAAAGUAGUUAAUUUAUUAACUAAUAAAUUAUUAAUUUAAAUAAAUAUUAAUAAAUGUAAGAAAAAAUCAUUUAAUUAGAAACUUAGUUCAAUAGAGUUAAAAAAAAAAGAGAGAAUAUUAUUGACUUAUAUGUCAUAAUUUCAAAACUUUUGAUUUUUUUUAUUUUACAUGAACAAUAAGGGUCUUUGAUGUUAAUAACCCAAUAAUUACAUCUCAGCCAUUAUCCAAGUCUUACGUUAAAUCCAACGGUAGAUUUGAAAAAGACAAAAAAUGGGUACCAAACCCCAAAGGUAUUGUAGCUGACCCGAUGUAAUAGUUCAUUACAUCUUUAUUUUUUUAAAUAAUAGCCUAUUUCAUCAUUCUUUUUCAAACAAUAGACAAAAUGGUCUUUUGUAAAUUUAUAAUUAGUUUACUUUAUAAUUAACUGAGGACAAAAUAAAAUUUUUAGUUAAAUAAAUACAAACUAUUUUAAAAUAAAAAUCUCAAGAAAAAUAAAUAAUAUCUAAAUUUCUAUAUAUAUUUAAAGUUCACAUAUAACUUAAUAAAACAAAAAUAACACUAAAAAACAUGCAAUAUAUUUGUGUGUAUGUGCAUUCAUUAAAUAUUUUUAAUGAAGUCAAUUAAAUUUUUGAAUAAUAAUUUUUUAAAAUUAAGAAUCGUUAUCCCUAUUAAGGUUAAUGAUAAGCUAAAAGACAAAAAAAAAAAAAACCAUACACUCUAAUGUAGUAUGCUCUAUUCUAUAAUAUUUGUAAAUAUGUGUUUUUAUGUAUUUAGUGUGUAUUUUUAAAACUAAAUAAAGGAGUGUGUGUUCAUUUUUUAUAGAAUAACAGUAUAAUUGAUUAUUUAUUUAUUUAUCUUGAUCAUAUUAAAAUGAAGGACAAACUAAAGGAUUAAAAAAAAAAAACUCAUUCUAGUGCUUGUGAAAUCUAUGUUUUUCUUUUUUAAUUUUGUCUUAGAUAUAUAUUUUACAUAUUAUUUAGUGUUAUUAUUGUUUAGUCAUUAAGUUAUCCUUAUAUUUUAAAUUUACACCCAAAGGCAGAUAUUUUUUAAUUACAUUUGAGAGUUUUAUUUUAAAAUAGUUUGUAUAUCCUUAUUUGAAAAUUUAAUUUUGUUUUCAAUGAAUUAUAUAGUAUACUAACAAUAAAUUGACCGAAGAGUGUUUUGAAGAAAGAUUUUGUAAAUUAAUUUUAAAUUGAAAACACAAGUAUAAUUUAGAUUCUGCCAACAUGAAUUAGUUUUGGUUAACUGUUUAAUAAUUAUAUCAUUAAUCAAGUAAAUGAGUCAAGAAAUUAAACCCUUACUCGACAAAAUAAAAAAAAAAUCAUGUUGACCAAAUCAAACUCAUAUAAUAAUUGUGUCAACUUUUAUGGGAAAAAUACCUUUUUCACUUCUAAGGUUUGAUGUAAUAAUCAAUUUCAUCUUUAUUAUUUAAAUAAUAGCUCAUUUCAUUCUUAUUUUACAAGAUUUGAUGUCAAUAAUAUUAAAUAGGUAUUAAGCGAGUUAUUAAGUUGUAUUAUAUUAGGUGAUACAAUUACAUGAUUAUUAAAUGAGUGUAUUAGAUCACUCAUUUAUUUUUUAUGUAGUGUUUCAAUUUUAAUAUUUUGACACGAAUAUUAAAUGAGCUGUAUUUGAGUCCGCUUAAAGGUGAACUCGCUUCAAAAUGAGUUUGUUGUGGUACUGAUUCUUCAUCUUUUCUGGUAACAGAUUUGAAUAAAUAGAGUAGUGGACCAAGAAAAGAGUUUUAACUCCAAGGAAUUCCUUAUGUCAAACUCACAAAAUUGACACGAUACGAGCAGAACCAGUUGUUGUGCAAAUUUUAAUGUACUCGCAAGCGCACGAAUCUAUUGUAGAAUAGAUUAAUGGUGACGAGUGUCGAUCCCACGAGGAGGUGGAUUUUAAUUGUGUAUAGAAUUAAUUUUGCAAAUGGGUAAUUGGAAUUGUGGUGGAAGUGAUUUAAAAUAUGCUAAAAUUGGAAUUUCAAUGGCGAGAAUAAAUUGUAGAGAAAAUCGAUUAAAUUGACGUACUUGGGUAUCUGGAUCCGUAUCAACAUGCAUCAUGAGCUAAAUAUUCCUUAUUAAUACCAAUUAAAUCAUGAGGGAGGAAUCCACACCUCAUGAACCACGCUCUAAUCAAUAUGGUGCUAAGGGCUUAUCGUGCCAAAUAAUAAUAACAUUAUACUAGAGAGCCGGUGUAACCAAGGCGGUAUCUAGACAAGAUCAGUAUUAUUUGUCGACGAUAAGUCAAAUCAUCCACAAAAACUAGAGGGGAAAAGAAAAUAAAUUUACCAAAUAAAGCCCAUGACACAUGUUGAGACUUCACCUUCAACCCAAGCUUGAAAGGAAAUUAGCUACUCAUAAUUGAAUUAGGGGCAAAAUGAGAAUUUAUUAAAAUACAAAGAAAAUACAAGAUGGAGAAGGAAUUACAGAAAAUGGAUCCCAAAAAUGAAUUCAGAGAUAUCAAAUUAGGGGGGGGGGGAAGCCCCCUUUUUAUAGAUACAUGGAGUAAAUCAUGGCCAUCAGAUUAAAAACAGUUUGGACGCUUAGGAUUGCGCCACGUCAUCAGUCAACAGUCCACGGUUUGACCACACGGAUGAACAGUAACACGGUUUGACCCGGAUGAACAGUAACGCGGUUUGACCCGGAUGAACAGUAACGCGGUUUAGUUGAAAAUAAUCAUGUGUGAUGCAUGCACCGUACGCGAGAUUUUUCGUCCACUGAUAUGCUGCCACGUCACCAUCAACAGUACAUAAGAAUUUUAGUCCAACAGGAUCGUGACACCUCAUCAGUCAAUGCCACAUCAUCGGUCAAUGCCACGUCAUCGAUCCGUCUAUGUGAACAGUGUCGUGAACAGUAACGUAGACAGUACCGUACACGUGAAUAGUACCGUACAUGUGAAUAGUGCCAUUUUUCCUUUUAUGCUCCUCCUAAGGUUUUCGACCGUCCUGAGUUCAAAAGUGAUGUCCGUUUUGCCGUCUGAUCUCUCCUUUAUUGUGAAAUGACUAUAAUGCCCCUAAAAUACAUAAAAUACUUAAUUAAAAUAAAACACACGGAAUUAAAUCGAAAGAAGGUUAAAUUCAUAAAAGUAAAGGUGUUAGUAAAACUUGUAGUGUAAAAUGACGAUUUUCUCCUUUAUAAAUAUACAUUUUCUAACACUCAACACACCCCCCAACCAGCUUAUUGCUAGUCCCUAGCAAAUAAAGCGAAAACAAAAUUCAAAUUCAAAAUGAUUUUUUUUUUUUUAGAAACACUCGUGUUUAUUCAAUCAGAUUAAUGAUAGCAAUCAAAUAAAAGUAUAAGCAUUAUCUCCAGUCUAAAGCAACAUCACACCCACAUCACACCCACAUCAACCAUCCACAUGAAUUAGCCCAAUAGACUUUGUUAUAGCUACUUUCAAGAAUGACAUGUCAAACCCCAAAAUCUCACUGGAAGUAGUGACACUCACAAAGAAAUUAAAACCCAAUAACCAUAGUCACUCCAAUGAAUGGUAAUUGAGAGAGAAAAUAAUAAAGAAAUGAUAUCACAUGCUCUCACCAAGAUGAAAUAAAUAUGCCCUCAGCUUAGAAAUAAUACGAUCUCAAGUCAAAUAAAAUGUUAGUCAACCCACUUUGUUUAUCUCUUUUUUUUUUCUCUUUUUUUUUUAUUAUUAUGCAUCACUACAUCUUUUUAGCCCAUAUAACUAGCUUCUACUUCAAACUAUAGUUCCCUAAAAUCAAGAAGGACUUUUAUUAGGACGUAACGUAGGCUAGGGAUAUGGCUAACAAAGAAAUGAAAUAAGGAAACAAAGUGUAUGUUUGAGAAAAAUGCAGAGAUUUUUUUUUUUUUUUUUUGAAGUUGCAAGGUGUAUUUCACCUAUUGUUGUUAUUUUUAUUCUUUUGAAACAACAACUUUUGUUUUUUUUUUUGUUUUUUUUUGCUUUUAUUUGGCAUAACUUCACUGAACAACAUAAUUAUUUACAUUUUCUCAAACAUAAAUAGGUGAUGGAACUUAUAAGACAUCGGGUAAUACUCCAAAUCGGAGUGGGUCAAGAUGAUAAGUUGACAAAGAAAAAGUUUUUUCUUUUUUUUUUUUAAUUUUUUUUUUAAAGGCUCAAAAGGGGUAACUAUGGAUAUUUAAUAAAAGGGAUGGCUAGAAAGGCUCAAACGGAUCAAAGAUGGCAUUUCCAUCGUCUUUUAGGGCUCUAAAUAAUUAUCCAUAUCUACUAGUUAGAUGGGCCUCCCAAUGUAGCAACACACAUUUUUUUUUUAUUUUACCAUUUUUUUUAAAGGGUUAACUCAAAAGAAAUCUAGAGAUCGUGUAUAAAAUAAUAAACUGCUAAGCUGUAUAGAGAAUGGGCAAAAGGGUUACUCUCCAAGAAAAUGAUAGGCUCAACAACUCACUUGGCACUUAUUUAUGACAUGUUCAUUCCUUCAAGCAACUCAUAUUUGUCUCCGACAUCAACAUGUAAAGUAGCAAACAUAGUGUAACAUCACUUAAGACCAAAGAUAAUACAAAUACUAAAAUUUGAAAUUAAUCAUGUCAUCCAAUGUUAAAACAAAUAACACAAUUUUUUUUUUAAACAACAUUCUACCCCCCAACCUAUUCUAAACAUGAAAGGAAAAUAUGCAUGCAGAAAUGUGAAAAUGAUGUAGAAAAAUUAAUUAGAAAAAGAUUUUUUUUUUUUAAACUAAGAAGAUGCGUUUCUAGAGGCACUACACUCCAUAUUCAGCCAUCUUCGACUCAAAAAUUUGAAACUAUAUAUUUAUAAAGGAGAAAGAGGAAGAAAACGAUUUUUUUUUUUUAAAACAAUGAAGAUGCGUUUCUAGAGUAACUACACUCCAUAUUCAGUCAUCUUCAACACAAAACGUUAGCAACAGUUAGUUUCUACAACAAAAAAUCAGUAAAAACUUAACCAAGAUUCCACAAUUGUCGACUAUUCCCUCCCCCCAACCAGAACGAAACAUUGUCCUCAAUGUUUUAAAGGAAAGAAGUAGAGUUUAGAAGACAUCACCUGGGUGGUGCAACACAGAAGAAAAUAUUUACAGGCGGAGAGUUAAAUCUAAUUUGUACUUCUUACUGCGGCUACUGUUACCAUCAUUAUUUGGUCGCUCCAACACAAAGGUCCAGGGGUCUGGCUCCGGUUUAUAAGCUUGUAACAUAUCAAGUAGCUCAUUAGCAGUGUGAGCACAAAUAAAGAGUUUUUUCACAUUAGAAGGAAUGAAAUAGUUUUUUAUUGCAUGGUUAAGAAAUGCGAUAAAGUCAUCAUAAAAGUUAUUGACAUUUAACAAACCGAUGGGUUUCUGGUGAAUGUGUAGAUGGGCCCAAGAUGCUAGUGUCAUAAGUGCCUCUAGUGUUGCAAGAUCUACUGGAAGGAAAAUAAAAGCAUCAGCAUGAUUAAGCAUUUCAGUUAUUCUUUCUUGCAUACCUGAGACGACUAACUCUUCUCCAGUUGAUGAGUCAGACGAACUGCCCAAUGGUUUUAGGACUCUUGGGAUGAUGCCUAACACUUGACUUCCUCUGAUAAAAGCUGCUUCUGAGACCAUUUUUGAUAAUCCUCGGUUGCCUCCUCCAUACACCAAGUGUAAUUUUCUCGCUGCUAUGCUUCGACCAAGAUCUAUGGCUGCCUCCACGAACUCUUUAUGUUUGCCAUAGGUAAAUCCAGAAAGCACACAAAUGUUCUUGAAUUGUCUAUUGGGAGUAGCUGCCAUUGUGAUACUUCUCAAAAACAAUUUGUGAGUGCUUGACAAAAGAUAAAUCACAUUUAAGAAUCUUGGUGACAAUGGAUCACAGCUGUGAAGGAGGUAACAUGUCAGUGUCAAAUAACGCGUAAAGCACGUGGCUCGCGAGUCAAAAAGGAAACAGUAAAAAGGAAAAAGCAAGCAGUAAUAAAAUUAUUAAAGACAAUAAUACAAACGAUAAAACAACAGUAAAAUAAAACAACAGUAAAGUAAAAGGAUAUUUACAGGUAGUUGCGACUGUGGCUCACAUCUUCCUCUGGUUUUACGUCCAGAAACGGCUUGAACGCCCUCUAUGGGUCGAGGAUCGGCUUCCCAUCCAGUUUUCUUAUAAACUGACAAACAGGGUCGUUUAUAGUCAGAUUCCCGAGACUAUAUCGUGCAUGCUCUUUCUGGAAUAAUGGCCAUAACCGGAGAAUCGCUCCUUGCACAUAUCCACUGGGAUGCGUUUCAAGAGACAAAAGGAUAUCAUCCAAUGACUCCUUAUUCAAGCCAUCCCUAAUGAAUUGAAUCUUAUCUUCCCUGUUAUCAGACACAAUUCCUAAAGAACAUGGGUUUCUAUCGCAACUCAUUCUGGCACACUUAUGACAAGCAACAGAAAUUCUUCGAGCUCUUCGUUUUCUUGCAUAAUUUCCUUUACCACAACCAGGCAUGAAUGCAAUAAAUUUUGGAGGUAACUCACCUGCCGAUCGUACUUUAGCCUCGAUUAACCAACGGAUGUCAGCAGGUAUGUUAUUCUUCAUGAGUAAUUGCAUGCGUUCGGACCGAGCUUUAUAGAUCGUAAAGAGGGCAUUCUGAGGAAGUGAAGGGAAUCGCUUGUGAAGCUUCGCUAGAAUCUCGUUUUUGUCCAUACUUUCGCCUCAGAAUGUCAGUUAUUAUGGGAAACUGAAGUAACCGACUUGAUUGUCAUGGAGUACCGUUAUCCGCCACUUCACCGGGGUAACAAACUAAAGCACACAAACAGAAAAACAAAUCAAAACACACAAAGAAAAUUAAAAUCGUCCUCUUAUUGAAUUUACCUCAAGUUCCAACUGGAUGUCGUAAACACUUCUCUCAAUGUCUCUGAGUUGGCGUUCUAAACCCUCAACAUAGGCUACUAACUCUGGUGGUUGUAGAGCCCAAAUGCGUUGUGUUUUACAAAAUUGAAUCUGCUUUUUGAGAUGAGUUUUGACACGUUGAAGUGGUUUAAGAAUGUUCAGGAGGAACGGUCUAAGUAAGGUACUCAUGAUUAAAAAUGAUAAGAGAAAACUUAAUUGUUAAACAAACACACUUAUGCAAAAAUAAUUUCAAUUAGCAAAAGAAUAAUAAAAAGAAAGAAAGAAAAAUCAAAUCAACGAAAAGAAAAAAAAAACAAAUCAAUUCAAAUCUGGUGGGUCACUCAAAUUUAUUUCGGUGUCUUCUCCAUGUGGUUGGUACUCUAGAUAUGGCUUUAAUCUUUGACCAUUAACUUUAAACGUGACACCGUUCUUUGGGUCUUUAAUUUCAAUUGCCCCAUGUGGAAAAACAGUAUGAACAAUAAAGGGACUAGACCAUCGAGAGCGUAACUUACCUGGGAAUAGGUGCAAGCGAGAAUUGAAUAAAAGCACUUUCUGACCUGGAGUGAACGAUUUUCUCAUAAUGUGCUUGUCAUGAAAGACUUUCAUUCGUUGCUUGUAAAUUUUGGCAUUUUCGUAUGCAUCAUUGCGAAUUUCUUCAAGUUCUGCCAGUUGUAAUCUUCUUUCUGAGCUGGCUUGCUGUAUGUCAAAGUUGAAUUUCUUGAUGGCCCAAUAUGCAUGAUGCUCGAGUUCCACAGGUAGGUGGCAAGCUUUUCCAUACACUAGCCUAUAGGGUGACAUCCCAAUCGGGGUCUUGAAAGCUGUUCUAUAUGCCCAUAAUGCAUCAUCAAGUCUUAAUGACCAAUCUUUUUUGUCUGGCCUCACCGUUUUUUCUAAUAUGUGCUUGAUUUCUCGAUUGGAGAUCUCAACUUGGCCACUGGUUUGCGGAUGAUACGGGGUCGCCACUUUGUGUGUAAUUGAAUACUUUGUCAAAAGAGCUUUAAAUGCUUUGUUACAAAAGUGGGCACCACCAUCACUGAUUAUCGCUCGAGGGAAUCCAAAGCGCGAAACAAUAUUGCUUUUCAAAAAUCCUAUCACCACUUUGUGAUCAUUGGUUCUGCAUGGAAUUGCUUCCACCCAUUUCGAUACGUAGUCAACACCAACCAAUAUGUAUUGAUGGCCAAAAGAAGGGGGAAAGGGUCCCAUGAAGUCGAUACCCCAUACGUUAAAAAUCUCAACCACUAAAAUUGGAUUUAGUGGCAUCAUGUUCCUUUGUGUAAUGUUCCCCAUUCGUUGACACCUAUCACAUGAAGAACAGAAAGUGUAAGCAUCUCGAAAUAUAGUUGGCCAAUAAAAACCACAUUGUAAAACUUUAGUCGCCGUUUUCUUAGCACUGAAAUGGCCUCCACAAGCUUGUUCAUGGCAGAAUGAAAGGAUAUUCUGAAUUUCACUUUCAGGGACACAUCGUCUAACAAUUUGGUCUGCACAAUACUUGAACAAAUAUGGGUCAUCCCAAAAGAAAUUCUUUAUUUCCGCAAAGAAUUUAGCAUUGUCUUGCUUGGUCCAAUGCUCUGAAAAUUUACCUGUAACAAGAUAAUUAACUAUAUCAGCAUACCAAGGUAAUACUUCCACACUCAUUAAUUGUUCAUCUGGAAAUGACUCAUUUAAUAUUAAUGGCUAUGUAAUUGUGUCAAAAUGGAGACGAGAGAGAUGGUCCGCCACAACAUUUUCUGUCCCUUUUUUAUCUUUGAAUUCCAAGUCAAAUUCCUGCAAAAGUAAUACCCAACGAAUUAGUCUAGCUUUUGCAUCUUUCUUUGUGAGAAGAUAUUUAAGAGCAGCAUGAUCUGUGAAUAUAAUUAUUUUACAACCAAUGAGAUAAGAUCGAAAUUUCUCUAAUGCAAACACUACUGCUAGCAUUUCUUUUUCAGUAGUUGAAUAGUUCAACUGUGCAUCAUUCAAUGUCAUACUAGCAUAGUAAAUAACAUGGGGAAUUCGAUCAACUCUUUGUCCUAAUACUGCUCCUACUGCAUAAUCAGAUGCAUCACACAUGAGCUCAAAUGGUAAGCUCCAGUUUGGGGCCUGAAUGAUGGGUGAUGAUGUCAACAAUUGCUUUAAUUUUUCAAAAGCCAUAAGACAUGAAUUAUUAAAGAUAAAAGGUACAUCCUUAGCAAGUAAAUUGCACAAGGGUCUAGAAACUUUGCUAAAAUCUUUAAUGAAAUGUCUAUAGAAACCAGCAUGCCCAAGGAAAGAUCUUACUUCUCUGACUGUUUUGGGUGGAGGAAGAUUAGAAAUGAGAUCCACCUUGGCUUUGUCAACCUCAAUACCUUUGCUUGAAAUGAUGUGACCGAUAACAAUACCUUGUUUUACCAUAAAAUGGCACUUCUCCCAAUUCAAGACUAAGCUCUUCUCGGUACAUCUCUGCAGAACUAGCGUUAGAUGAUGUAAACAUUGAUCAAACGAGUCACCAAAGACAGAAAAAUCAUCCAUAAAGACUUCAAGGAAUCGUUCAACCAUAUCAGAAAAAAUGCUCAACAUGCAUCGUUGAAAUGUAGCAGGUGCAUUACAUAAUCCAAAUGGCAUUCUCCUAUAUGCAAAUGUGCCAAAAGGGCAAAUGAAAGUAGUUUUCUCUUGAUCUUUUGGUGCUAUGGGAAUCUGAUUAUAUCCUGAGUAGCCAUCUAGAAAGCAAUAAAAUUCAUGGCCUGCUAAUCUAUCAAGCAUUUGAUCAAUAAAUGGUAAAAGAAAAUGGUCUUUACGUGUGACAGAAUUCAACUUUCUAUAAUCAAUGCAUACACGCCAUCCUGUAGUUACUCUAGUUGGUAUCAAUUCAUUAUCAGCAUUGGUAACUACUGUGACUCCUGACUUUUUGGGGACAACUUGUACAGGACUGACCCAUGAACUAUCAGAAAUUGGGUAAAUGAUACCUGCGUCUAAUAGCUUAAGGACUUCAGUUCUAACAACUUCUUUCAUAUUAGGAUUUAACCGACGUUGCAUUUCCCUAGUAGAUUUAGCAUUUUCAUCAAGGUGAAUGUAAUGCAUGCAGUCUACUGGAUUUAUACCUUUGAUGUCUGCUAUAGUCCAUCCUAAUGCUCCUUUGUGCUCUUUUAAAACAUCUAACAACUUACCUUUUUGUUCGUCGUUUAGGGAUGAUGAGAUGAUUACCGGUAGAGUACUUUCUUCUCCCAAAAACGCAUAUUCCAAUGUGUUGGGCAAUGGUUUGAGCUCGAGUUUCGGUGGUGAUUCUGAUGAUGGGAUGAGUUUCUUCUCUGAUGGUGCUAGUUGUUCAACUCUUGACUUCCAUUUAUUAGUGUCCAUGUAUGGUGCUGAGUCAAGCAGGGAGUUGACCUCAUCGACCGAUCUGUCAAUAUCAAAAUCCAAACCAAAGUGAGUUAAACAUGUUUGUAAAGGAUCAUCACUAAAGUUUGAAAUAAAUGUGUCAUCAACUAAUGCUUCAAUUAAAUCCACAUCAACAAUUCCAUCAUCUGCACUGUGAGGUUGUUUGGCAAUGUUGAAAAUAUUUAGCUCCAUAGUCAUGUUGCCGAAGGACAACUGCAUAUUUCCAGUCCUGCAUUGAAUGUGAGCAUCCGCAGUUGCCAAGAAAGGUCGGCCUAGGAUAAUGGGGAUGUGCUUCCUUGAAUCCUGUAUUGGUUGAGUGUCAAUUACAAUGAAAUCAACAGGAAAAUAAAACUUGUCUACCUGGAUAAGCACGUCCUCCACAAUACCACGAGGUAUUUUUGUAGACCGAUCUGCAAGUUGUAACACCACUGGAGUUGGGUGUAAUUCUCCAAGUCCAAGUUUCACGAAAACAGAGUAAGGCAACAAAUUUACACUAGCUCCUAAAUCCAACAAAGCAUUCUCAAUUGUAUGGUUCCCUAUACUACAUGAGAUAGUGGGGGAGCCUGGGUCUUUGCAUUUUAAAGGAAUUUUAUGUUGGAGUAUAGAACUAACGUUUUCUGUUAAAAAUGCCUUCUUUUGAACAUGCAUAUUUCUCUUUUUAGUACAAAGGUCUUUAAGAAACUUGGCAUAAGAUGGAACUUGUUUAAUAGCAUCAAGUAAAGGGAUGUUAACACUUACCUGUUUGAAGAUUUCGAGAAUCUCACCUGUGGAUUUUCCCUUUUUUCCUUUAGCUAACCUCUGAGGAAAUGGAGCUUUGGGAACGUAUUCUCGUGGGUUGGUUUCUUCUUUUUCCUCCGGUGGUGAGUCUUCAACAUUCACAGGUACAAUUUGAUUUUCUUUUGUCACCGGCAUAUCCACUUUGUUGUCGACUUCCUUUCCUUUUCGCAAGGUCAUGACUGCUUUGACCUCUCCAUGCUGCUGUGGUGAACUGGUACUUGCUUCAUGUACUCCUUUAGGAUUAGGCACUGGUUGACUAGGAAAUUUACCUUUCUCAACAGUCAUUGCCAAGGUCUGAACUGAAGAAGCAAGUUGUCCCACCAUCUUCUCGAGGCUUGAAACUGAUUGAGCUUGUGAGUUGAAGCCCGCUCUCAAUUCAUUUCGUAGUCCAUCAAUGGUGCGGUUCUGUUGCUCAAUCGUGGAGUGAGUAAGAUUCUUGAGAUUCUGGAAUGAAUCCUCCCAUGGUCUGGGUUGAGAGUAGUUCUGGUUCUAAUUGAAUGGUCUAAAUGGGGGCUGAGAGGCUUGAGGAUUUUGAGGAAUUUGUUGCAUUGGUGGAGCUGGAGCUGCUGGUCCAUUCUGUUGGAAUCCUUGAGACCAUGAAAAAUUGGGGUGGUCUCUCCAUCCAGGAUUAUAUGUGUUGGAGUAUGGGUUGUAAUUUGAUGGCUUUCUCAUUACACUAUGGCAUUGGCUUGAUCUGGAUAUGAGUUAGGGUCAUGUGAUUCUGUUGAUUUAGCAGUCGAUAACGAUGCUAUUUGUCGAGCAAGACCUUCAACCAUCUCCUCGACUUCUUUGAUUCCCGAAGUUGACUCGCCAAUGUGAACCUCAUUCACUCCUUUAAUCCUUCUAGUAUUCCUGAGUGAUCGACUCCGUUGUUGGGAAUUAUCCGCUUGUCGCUGAAAGAAUUCCCAAAUUUCUGAUGCACUUUUUGACAUUAGCUCUCCUCCACUUGUUGCCAUUAGCCAUUCUUGCACAUUCGGCAAUAAUCCCUCCAAAAAGUAUUGGCAUUGAUGCCAUUUUUCGUACCCAUGAUGUGGACACUUCAAGAGUAGUCCAUUGAAUCGCUCCCAAGUUUCGAAAAACUGCUCGUCCUCUCUUUGUGUAAACUCUGAAAUUUCCCUACGAAUAGAAUUGGUUUUAUGCACUGGGAAAUAUUUAUUUAGAAAUUUUGUAACCAUUUGUUCCCAUGAUGCAAUGCUAUUAGCAGGCAAUGUAUUAAGCCAUGAACGAGCUCUAUCCUUUAAAGAAAAUGGGAAUAAUCUAAGCUUUACAUCAUCAUCUGAAAAAUUCUCGUAUUUAAAAGUUUGACAAAUAGCAUGAAAAUCAUUCAGAUGAUUAUAUGGGUCCUCAUUUUCUAGGCCAUAAAAUGUGGGGAGACAAUUUAGCACACUAGGUUUUAAUUCAAAACUCAUAGCAGCUACAUUUGGGUAUCUAAUACAUGAUGUGCUCAAAUUAGCUAAGGGACUAAAAUAGUCCUUAAAUGGCCUCUCAUGUGGUUGCAAAUCCAUUUUAUUUUUAAUGUGCUUUUGUGUGCGAAGUGUUUUUUCUAGUUCAAGGUCUAUAGGUUCAAGAUUAGGUAAUAAUGACCUACGACCAUGCAUGCAAAACAAAUAAAAUAAAAAUAAAGAUGGGAACAAAACAAAUAAAAAUAAAGAAGAGGGAGAAAUUACGAUACUAACCUUAUUGCACUGUUACAACUUUUCUAUAAAAAUACACAAAAACAAAUACGUGAAAUAAAUUAACUAAAAAUUAAAUUAAUAAAAUAAACAAAAAUUACAAAGAAAAAAUAAAUUGAAAAUUAAAUUACAGAAUUUUAAAGAAGAGAAAAAGAAAAGAAAUACUAACCUCUAAAUGCGGAUUCACUUUUUUUUUUAAUAAAAAAUACAAGAAAAUAAUUUAAAAUAAAUUAUUCACAAAAAUUAAUUCUAUGAAUUAAAAUUACUUACCUCCCCGGCAACGGCGCCAAAAACUUGUUGUGCAAAUUUUAAUGUACUCGCAAGCGCACGAAUCUAUUGUAGAAUAGAUUAAUGGUGACGAGUGUCGAUCCCACGAGGAUGUGGAUUUUAAUUGUGUAUAGAAUUAAUUUUGCAAAUGGGUAAUUGGAAUUGUGGUGGAAGUGAUUUAAAAUAUGCUAAAAUUGGAAUUUCAAUGGCGAGAAUAAAUUGUAGAGAAAAUCGAUUAAAUUGACGUACUUGGGUAUCUGGAUCCGUAUCAACAUGCAUCAUGAGCUAAAUAUUCCUUAUUAAUACCAAUUAAAUCAUGAGGGGGGAAUCCACACCUCAUGAACCACGCUCUAAUCAAUAUGGUGCUAAGGGCUUAUCGUGCCAAAUAAUAAUAACCUUAUACUAGAGAGCCGGUGUAACCAAGGCGGUAUCUAGACAAGAUCAGUAUUAUUUGUCGACGAUAAGUCAAAUCAUCCACAAAAACUAGAGGGGAAAAGAAAAUAAAUUUACCAAAUAAAGCCCAUGACAUAUGUUGAGACUUCACCUUCAACCCAAGCUUGAAAGGAAAUUAGCUACUCAUAAUUGAACUAGGGGCAAAAUGGGAAUUUAUUAAAAUACAAAGAAAAUACAAGAUGGAGAAGGAAUUACAGAAAAUGGAUCCCAAAAAUGAAUUCAGAGAUAUCAAAUUAGGGGGGGGGAAGCCCCCUUUUUAUAGAUACAUGGAGUAAAUCAUGGCCAUCGGAUUAAAAACAGUUUGGACGCUUAGGAUUGCGCCACGUCAUCAGUCAACAGUCCACGGUUUGACCACACGGAUGAACAGUAACACGGUUUGACCCGGAUGAACAGUAACACGGUUUAGUUGAAAAUAAUCAUGUGUGAUGCAUGCACUGUACGCGAGAUUUUUCGUCCACUGAUAUGCUGCCACGUCACCAUCAACAGUACAUAAGAAUUUUAGUCCAACAGGAUCGUGACACCUCAUCAGUCAAUGCCACAUCAUCGGUCAAUGCCACGUCAUCGAUCCGUCUAUGUGAACAGUGUCGUGAACAGUAACGUAGACAGUACCGUACAUGUGAAUAGUGCUAUUUUUCCUUUUAUGCUCCUCCUAAGGUUUUCGACCGUCCUGAGUUCGAAAGUGAUGUCCGUUUUACCGUCUGAUCUCUCC